rnacentral:lncRNA from 1 species
ACUACAAACCAUCAUUCGAGGAGUUUAAGGCUAAUGCAUUGCCAACUUGUGGUUAUGCCAUGCUUGCUAUUACAUCUUUCGUCGGCAUGGGAGAUAUUGUAACACCAGAAACCUUUAAAUGGGCAGCCAAUGACCCUAAGAUCAUUCAAGCUUCCACAAUUAUUUGUAGGUUUAUGGAUGAUGUUGCUGAACACAAGGUAUAAUAAUAUAUUUAAAUAAUCACAAGAAACCAAACUAUUAACUCAAUAACGAUGGUUUUUGUCACGAUUUGAAACAAUUAAAGUUUAAUGUUUAUAUAUCAAAUGUUUAGCCUUAAAUCGAAGAAUAAGAAAAGAUAUCUAGUUUCAUUUUAAAAAUAUAUAUAGUUUAACAAACGAAUAGAAUUUAGGUUAUAUAGUGAUUGAAUAAUUUUUAUUUUAUUAUGGUUGCAGUUCAAACAUAGGAGAGAAGACGAUUGCUCAGCAAUUGAGUGUUACAUGGAAGAAUAUGGUGUAACAGCACAAGAGGCAUAUGAUGUAUUCAACAAGCAUGUUGAGAGUGCUUGGAAGGAUGUGAAUCAAGAGUUUCUGAAACCAACAGAAAUGCCAACAGAAGUUUUGAAUCGUAGCUUAAACCUUGCAAGGGUGAUGGAUGUACUCUACAGAGAAGGUGAUGGCUACACAUAUGUUGGAAAAGCGGCUAAGGGUGGAAUCACUUCAUUACUCAUUGAACCAAUUGCACUUUGAAAUCGUAUUAAAUUUUCCUCUUCUGUUCCUUAAGGAAUAGUUAUUAAGUUAUAAUUAAUAAUGUUUUAUAAUAUAUAUAUUAUAAAAGAAAUUCUAAAUCAACUGUCUUUGUAUUCAUUUCCCUGUAUUGAUCUAAUAAAGUUCUUUUCAAGCUUUCAUUUGUGAAAAAUCUGCUAUUUUAUAUUUUAUAUUUUAAUUUUCCUUCUUUCGUUGCUAUAGCUUUGAACACAAAAUUUAGAGUAUGAUCCUAUCAUGCUCUUCCUUUUUACCAACAUUGUUGUCACUUUCAAUGAUUUUUCUCUUCUUCGCCAUAACAUUAUCAUCAAGAUUGCAUGUGAUAAAGUUUUGCCAUUCAGAUAGCCUUUUCAAGGCUCGCCACUAGAAGCUCACUUAAAUAGGGAUACUUGUUAAUAAAAUAUGUUUGUUGUCCUUGUUUUUAGGCAUAUAUUUGCUGCACAUCAAGGAUUUAGUGGCUACAGAUCAUGGGUUUAUUUGGUUUAGAUUUUUUUUCCUUAGUUGUUAAGAGUCCUAUUCUGAGUCGUUUGUUGUUAGUGUGCGAUUUCUUGAUUUUUCUAUCAUGUAAUUGCCUAUAUAAUAGGUUCUUGAGGUUGUGAAUAAAUGAGUUGAUCAUCUUAUUUUCCCUUUCCUUUAUUUUUUUCAUCUUGCUGUUAUCUCCUUAGUAAGCUAAUAGUUGUGUCAGAGCCUGGUAAAAGAAGAGUAUUUUCGGUGAGAGAAAAAUGUUUAUGGUCCUCUUAUGGCUUUUGAAAAUUGUUUGCAACUACCUAUUCCACAUUUUGACGGUCACUAUGACCAUUGGAGAUGUUGAUGGAGAACUUAUUAUAGUCCAAGGAGUAUUGGCAAGUCAUUAAGCACGGUAUAGCAACACCAACAGAUGGAGAAAAGCUUACAGAAUACAACAAAAAAGACUUGAAGGGGCUGAAGUUCAAAGAUUUGAAAGCAAAGAAUUACUUAUUUCAAGCUGUUUCGAUCCUAGAAACCAUUCUUUGCAAAGAAACUUUCAAGGAUAUUUGGUACUCCAUUAAGACAAAAUGUCAAGGCUCUUCCAAAGUGAAGCGUGCAUAGCUUCAAGCUCUUUGGAAGGACCUUGAGGUUCUUCGGAUGGAGGAUGGUGAGUCCAUUAUAGACUAUUGUGCAUGAACCAUGGGAAUCAUGAGUAAUAUGUGAUUUCAUGGUGAGAAGAUGAAUGACACAACCAUUGUUAAGAAGAUACUACGGUCCUCAUCACCAAAGUAUGAUUAUGUUGUCUACUCAAUUGAAGAAUCCAAUGACAUUGAUGCACUCACCAUUGAUGAACUCCAGAGUUCCUUGUUGGUCCAUAAAUAGAAGAUGAAUAGAACUUCUACCCCCAAUGGAGCAGGCUUUGAAAGCUUCAACUCAUUCUUUCAAAAGAAGAAAUGGAGGUCAAGGAAAGGGAAGAGACAGAUGAGACAGUUGGAAUAAAAAUAGUGGCAGGUAUGCCAGAUCAGAUGAUAAAGGCAAACAACAAGAUCGACAAUUUGACAAGUCAAAGGUAGAAUGUUUUGGAUGUUAUAAGUUUGGUCAUUAUUGUUUUGAAUGUCGUACUAAUCUAUCAAUGAUAAGGAAAAGGGAGAAAAGUCAAAAUUUUCAUAAAAAGAAGCUAAAACCUUGUUAAUGGCAAUUCAUGACAAGCAAGAGAAGCCACAAAACUCAUGUUUAUGGUAUGUGGAUACAGGCUGUAGCAACCACAUGUGCGGUAAUAAGUUUUCUUUCUCUUAUCUAAAUGAAGACUUUCACAUUAAUGUGCCUUUUGGAGAUAAAUCUAUUGUUGAUGUAGUGGGAAAGGGUGGUAUUAGUAUAAGAACCAAUAAUAGUUUUGUAGAAACAAUGUCCCAUGUUUUCUUUGUGUCUGCUUUGAAAACUUAUUAAGUGCUGGUCAAUUGCAAGGAAAAAGAUAUGUGAUUACGGUAUCAAAAAGUGAUUGUGAAAUUUAUGAUCCUUCUAGAGGUGCUAUUGCAGUGGUUCCAAUGAGUUCCAACAGGUUGUUUCCAUUAGUGAUUGAUUGUUUUCAACCUUGCUUGAUGGCUAAAGUGAAGGACAACACAUGGCUUUGGCAUUUUUGAUGUGGUCAUCUUAAUUUUGAGGGUUUGAAGACUCUUUGGUAGAAAGAGAUGGUCAACGACCUCCCUCAGAUUGUCAUUCAAACCAUGUGUGUGAAGAUUGUGUUGUUAGCAGACAACAUCAUGAACAAUUUCCCAAAAUAAAGUUUUAGAUAGCAAAACAUGUGCAGGAAUUGGUCCAUUUAGAUAUCUGUGGACCAAUAAAACCAUAAUCUAAUGGAGGUAAAAUUUAUUUCUUUACUUUCAUCGAUGAUUAUUUCCAAAAAUUGUGGGUUUACUUUUUGCAGGAGAAAUCGGAAGCAUUUAGUGCAUUUACUAGCUUCAAGGCACUUGUUGAGAAUGAAAUCGGGAAAACCAUUCAAGUUCUUCGCAUUGAUUGUGGUGGAGAAUAUUGUUUCAAGGAAUUUGAAGCAUUUUGUGAGAGCCAUGACAUCUGGAAAAAGCUUACCACUGCAUAUACCUCCCAAAAAAAUAGCGUAUAAGAGAGGAAAAACAGAACCAUACUUAAUAUGGUGAAAAGCAUGCUUGCUAGUGGAAGGGUCUUAAAAUAAUUUUGGGCAAAAGGAGUAAAUUGGAGCAUCCAUGUCUUGAAUAGAAGCCCAACUUUUGCUGUUCAAAACAUGACACCUGAAGAAGCUUGGAGUGGAAGGAGACCAGCUGCAGAUCACUUCAAAAUUUUUGGUUGCAUUGCUUAUGCACAUGUUCCAAAUGUAAAGAGAAAGAAGCUUAAUGUCAAAGGAGAGAAGCGUGUCUUUCUAGGUGUAAGUGAAACAUCUGAAGUGUAUAAAUUGUUUAAUCCUUUAAAGGAGAAAAUUGUGAUUAGCAGGGAUGUAAUUUUUGAUGAGGAGAAUACUUGGAAUUGGGAUGACAAACAACCUUUUCAAACCUUUGUUGGUACUGAAGUUGAAGAUGAAAAGCAGUAGCCUUUAGAUUAGUAGACUCAAGCAACACUUAAGCUUAAGAGUUCACCAAAUAAUACUCUAAUAAGUAGUUGAACCUCAUCCUAGCUAUAUUUGACGGAGACCAGCUUGGAUAGGAGAUUUUUAGGUAAUCAGCGUUGGGCAGACUGAAGAUCCAACCAUCUAUUUUGCUUUAUUUGCGGAUUGUGAUCUAACAACCUUUGAAAGUGCUGUAAAUGAGUCAAAAUGGAGAAAAACAAUGGAUGAAAAAAUUGCAGUAUAGAGAGGAAUGAUACAUACAAGUUCACUAAACUUCCAAAAAGGCACAAGACAAUUAGUGUCAAAUAGGUGUACAAGACAAAGUUGAAGGAGAAUGGAGAAGUUAAUAAGUAUAAGGCACAUUUGUGGCUAAAGGUUAUAAAUAGGAGUUUGGGGUAGAUUACAAAGAAGCCUUUGCUCCUGUUCCAAGGCAUGAUACAAUCAGAUUGGUGAUUUCACUUAUAGUCUAAUACUCUUGGCCUAUCUUCCAACUAGAUAUGAAUUCGACAUUUUUACAUGGUGAGCUCAAAGAACAGGUUUUUAUUGAACAACAUACUGGUUAUGUUAAACAUGAAAGUGAAAAUAAAGUUUAUAAACUAAAAAAAGGCUUUAUAUGGGUUGAAACAAGCCCCACAUGCUUGGUAUAGUCGAAUUGAAGCUUAUUUCUUGAAAGCUGGUUUUCCCAAGUGUCCUUAUGAGUCUACUCUUUUCAUUAAAACUGGUGAUAAAAGGAAAAUACUUAUUGUGAGUUUAUAUGUUGAUGGUUUUAUUUUCAUUGGAAAUUGUAGUUCCAUGUUUAAUGGAUUCAAGAAGUCUGAUGGUUGAGUUUAAAAUGUCAGAUCUUAGUAUGAUGCAUUAUUUUCUAGGCAUAGAAGUAGUGCAAUCAACUAAUGGAAUAUUUUUUUCUCAAAGGAAAUACAUUCAAGAUAUUCUGAGCAAGUUUGACAUGAAGGAUUGCAAUCUAGCAAGCACCACCAUUGAGUUUGGCUUGAAGUUGAGCAAAGAAGGAAAGUAAGUGGACAACACUUUUUAUAAGCAGAUUGUAGGCAAUUUAAUGUACUUGAUUGGUACAAGACCUGACAUAAUAUAUUUUGUGAGUUUGAUCAGUAGGUUUAUGGAGAAUCCUACAGAGAUGCAUUUAUUGGUUACUAAGAGAAUCCUUCGUUACUUGCAAAGAACCAUAUAUUUUGGGUUGUUUUACAAAAAAGGAGAAUUUUAAUAUCUAUUUAGGUUCAUUGACUGUGACUGUAGGAGAUCUAGAUGAUAGAAAAAACACUUCAGUUUAUGUUUUCAUGAUGGGAAUCGGAGUUGUUUCAUGGUCAUCCAAGAGGCAAUCUAUUGUUCCUUUGUCAACAACUGAAGCUGAAUUUGUUGUUGCAACAACCUGUGCUUGUCAAGCUAUUUCGUUGAGAAAAAUCUUGGAGGAGCUGAAAUUCAAGAGAAUGGGAGCUACAAUAAUUUUUUGUGACAACAACUCAGUUAUCGGAUUCUCAAAAAAUCCAGUAUUACAUGGUAGAAGCAAGCAUAUUGAUGUGAAGUACUAUUUUUGAGAGAUCUUAACAAUGAUGGGGUAGUUGAUCUUAAAUGCUGCAAGAGUAAAGAUCAGCUGGAUGACAUAUUCACCAGACCUGGCAAAUUAUUUCCCUUAUUGUGAGUCCUAUUGUGAGCCUUAUUAUGUUAGUGCCUAAUUUCUUGAUUUUUCUGUUAUGUAAUUGCAUAUAUAAUAGGUUUUUGAUGUUGCGAAUAAAUGAACUGAUCAUCUUAUUUUCCCUUUCCUUUAUUUUUUUCAUAUUGCUGUUAUCUCUCUUAGUAAGCUAACAGCACCUUCACCUCUUUAAGCCCUACCAUUAUCAACUUGCCCUUUAGAAUCAGUGCUACAAAGCUCUCCUUUCAAACUCACCAAGAAGCUCCACCAACAAAAUGUCUACACCAUCAACAUCACCUCUCUAGGCAAGCCAAUGACAACACAUUACACCUUGCCCAAAAAUAUUAUCUCAUGGAAGGCCACUUUAUAAUCUCUUGCUCAAUUGCAAUAGAGGGGUGAUCCACCCAAGCACACUUACAUAAAAAUGGAACAAAUAAAAUCAAUUAUAUCAACAACGUAGGCACCACAUUAUCAUAAGCAUGAUGGUGUCAAAUUAUAAUAUAGUAGUUACAAUGGAACACUUACAUAAGUACUCCAAGGAUCAUUCUUCCACAUGGAUUGAUAAAGGAAGUCCAUAACCAAACAAACAAAUUUGGCCAUUACAAAUACAAUGAGGUAAACUUAAAUGAUCUUUGAAUAGUUAGGUGACCAAAGGGUAAACUUACUAGUUGUUGAGUGGCUAUAAGUGUAGUUUACCAAUUCUUUAAUGUUUAAGAUUACUUUUGUUUAAAUCUUACCUUUUUGCUUCAAAAUUAUUGGUGUUCUUGGUUGGUUGAAAAACUAGAGGAAUGGGAGGAAGGAGUGGAAAAGUGGAAAGAAAAUAAAAUUUAAUUGUACUUCGUAGGGAAUAAAAGUGAGAGAAAAGAAAAUAGGAGAGAUAAUCAUUUUUCAUCUUAAUGCAUAGAAAUCAAUCCUUCCAAAUUGGAAAGAUGAGAGGAGAGAAUAUUAUAAAGAUGUGUAUGUUAGUUUAAAAUUAUGCUAUUUUCUUUCAUUUCAUUUUUUAACUCUAUCAAACAAUAGAGGGAAAGAAAAUUACUUUGUUUUUCCACUUUUUCAUUUCUCCUAUCAAACACAACUACGGAAAGAAAAUUUAUGUUUUCCAUCCUUCUAAUUUUCAACCCCUUCAAUAUUCCAUCUUUCCAAUUUUCUUUCCACUCCAACAAGCAAAGCGAAAAUGUCUAGAGACAAAAUUGUUGACUUUUAUAAUUGUUAUAACAAACGUCGAUAAUGACAAUAGCAUGAUCGCAAAGUAUGAAAAAAAUAAGAACACACAGAUUUUACGUGGAAACCCUUUCGGGAAAAAACUACGGACAAAGGAGAAGAAAUUUACUAAUGUUGAAAAACGAAUAAUACAGGAGAAGUUUCGACUACAUCUAUUAAAAAGGUUAAAAAAUCCUAUUAUAAUCAAUAUCAAAUAGAAUAAAUAUAGUUCUUCAACAAGUGACGGGAUUUGGGUCACACAAACUCUAACAAUAAUUAAUGAAUUAAUUUAGUCUUUUACUUCAUAAUACAAUGACCCACAUUGUGAAAUUUCCAUUUCUGUUUUAGAAAAUUUCUAAAAAAAAGUUGUUUAGAAAUAAUCUUCUCAUGAGUUGUAAGUAAAAAAUCCAGUAAUAUUAUUAAAUAUUUAGUAAUAUUACAAGAAAUCUGUAUUCCUAAUAUAAGUAGCUUUGUAAAAGACUUAGUAAUUUACAUUGUAAGAAAUUCAAUAAUUUAUUGAAAAUGUUACAAUGUUGUAGCAAAUUCAGUAUUUUAAGUAGCCCACACUAAAUCUUUUUUAAAAUUACUGAAUUUAUAAUAAUUACUGAAUUACUUACAUGAUUACCAAAAAAAACUUCAACUAUUACUGAAUUCAUUAUGACAUUUUUUAUUUAUCUAAUUUCUUAAGGAAUUCUAUCAGUAAUUCAAUAAUUCUUUAAGAGUUUUAGUAAUUCAGUAUUUUUACGAAAUUUAGUAAUUUACGAAAUUAUGAAAAAUUAGGUAAACAUUAAAAUGUUUUAAGAUAUUCAAUAAUUGAUUUAGGUUAUUCAAUAUAUUUUAAUUUUAAUUUUAGUUUGGCCAUAAUAAGCACUUUUGUUCCUUGGGUUUGUGGGUUUGCUGCAAAUUAGAAAGGUUUCAUCAAUUUUUUAUUUAUUUCUCUAGGUUAUUAGAGUGAAUUCAAUAAUUAAUCCUCCACAUUCAAUAGGUCCAUUAAGGGGUAGAUGCGGACAACGAGUUUUAAAAUUACUCCAUACCCAGGAUAAUAAUUGAACAUUGGGCCACUGGUUAAGAUAGAAGAGACCCUUAACAUCUCAUUUAACUCCUGUGGCUAAAGGGUUCGUUAAUUUUAACAAUAUGUUUUAAGCUUCGUUAUGAGUUAACCCUUCACUCUCCUAGCUACAGAACUAAACUAAAGCAUCAACUUCUAGCUCCCCUUACCAUCAUGCAAUGGUCAUUUCGUGCUUUCAUAAAAUAAAAGUCCAUUUCAAAAGAGAGAAAUCUGAAUAAAAGAUUCAUCAUUAGCAAUAAAAAACAUGAAGAAAUUGAGAAGAAAACAAAAGAAAGAAAAGAGACAUGCCCAUUUCAGAAGGUGGAAAGCCUAAACUUUAGUUUAGAUUUUUAGGGAUUUCUAAGAAGUUUUUUUUUCGAAAAUCAAGCAAAGGAUUGGAUUUGAAAUUUUAGUUUUUUUUUCAUAUAUAUUUUAGUUUUUUUAAAAUUUUUAUAUCAUUUUUAUUUAAAAAUUUUUAGGAACUAUAAAAAAGAAAUAUAUAUAUAUAGUGAUUAGUUCUGCAAUUCAACUUAAAUUUUUCAUCUAACAUAAUUACUUAACAUGUUACGUUAGCUUACUGUUAUUUUAUUAAUGAUAAUUAAUAGCUCAAUAACUAGAUAUUACAAAUCGAUAACGUUAGUGACCAUUUUGUAACAAAUUAAAAUCCAAUGACUAAAAUGUAAUUUAAACCAUAGAUAAAUGAAUAUUUUUAUAAUUUAUCCUAUAUAAUAUUAUAUAUAUGUACCUCAAGAAAAAAAAAUAUCAUACAUAUGCACGCCAAACUAUAUAUAUAUUUAAUGUUAAGUUUCUAAUAUACAAUAUUUAUAAUAUUUAUAAAAAUUAAAUUUUAAGUUUAAAAAUUAUGAAAAAUUUUAAAAAUCUAAAAGUUUCAAACUACACCAACUGACCACAUGCUUGUUGGAAAUACUUAAAUUCAAUGCACAAUAAAAUACUAAAAAGAAAGGAGUUAAUAUAUGUUAACUUUGUUGAUGUGGUAUAUAUGUAAAUUACUAUGUGAAUGAAAUCUCAACAAUUAAAAUUUUUAAAUUUUAGAAAGUUUAACCAAAUAUAUAAAAAAAUAUUUUAAAAUUUAAAAUCAUUUUAAAAAUUUUAAAAAUAUAUUUUAAAAAUUUUAAAAAUUAAUUAAUUGUUAACGUGGCACAUACGUGGAUGCCAUAGUAAUAAAGUUAACAAACAUUAAUUUUUCCAUCCAGUUUGGGAUGAUUUGACAAACAAUGCAAAUUCAAGAGCUAAAAGAGACGAAAAAUUAAAUGAAGAACUAAAAUGACAUUUUAUAAAGUUGAAGGGCUAAAUAAAUUAUUAUGCUUUUUUAAUAACCGUUAUUUCUUUCUUUUUUUUAACAUGCCAAAUUUAAAAUAUGUAUAUUAAAUAUUUAAUUUUAUAUUGUGUGCGAAAUUAAUUGAUUUGGUUUAAUAUAAAUAAAAAUGUAAUACUUAAUUACUCAGUAUUAGAUAAGUUUACUAUCAAUUAGUAAAAAGUAAUUAUAAUAAGUGAAAGUUAUUUUUAGAAUUUAAAGUUUAUCCAAAUGAAUUAUUAAUGCCAUUAGUAGAACUACGAAUGCACAAUAAGGGAAGAAUAUAUCAAUUUUAUUGAUAAAUCUAGACGCCUUUAGUGAAAUUUGCUGAUUCCCUUUGAAUAUUGUUUUUAAAAUUAUGAGUUCCAAAUAUAAAAUUCUAGUAUUGACUGAAUCAUACAACUAUAGAAUUCAAUUUGAAAAAAAUAUGUUAAAUUAAUUGUGAAAAAUACCUUAUUUAAAGAGUCAAGCCGACAUUUUUUUUUUCUUUCUUUUUAUUAUUAUAAAUAUGAAGUAAACAAACACCUGUUAAAUAAUUAUAUUCAUGUUGAAAUUAAAGCGUCCGGUGAAUUUAAAAAUUCUUUUUAGAGGGCCUGAAAAUGAAUUAUAUAUCGUUUCGAUAGUAAAAAAGUAAUUUCAUCAUUUUAAUAGUUUAUAUCUUUAUAAUUUUUAAAGAAUUAAAUCAAAAUUUAUUAUUUUUAGGGUCAAAGUACAAUUUUAUCAUUACUAAUUUGAAAUUUUAUAAAUUAUAAAAAACUUUAAAUAGAAAAUUUUCCAUUUUAAGGGGAACCGAAAUUCCUCUGGCUCCGCCCGACACACAUCACAGUUGCACAUAAUUAAUUAAUAGAUUAAAUCUUAUUACAUGUUUCUCAUUUUUAUUUCUUAUUUCAACGAAUUCAUCGUCACUAAGAUUGACUAAUUUGUCCUUUACAAUGAUCCAAAAGACUUUUCAACACUCUCAGUCUAAGGGGUUCCUCCGGAGUCCGUAUAUUAUGUUUCAAGUCAAUAAUUUUACUGUUUUUUUAUGGAUGCUGAAAAUAUGAUCAAUGUGCCCCUUUUCCCCCCUUAAAUUAUCUCAUUAUGCUGAAAAUUAUGUUAAAUUAAUUGUGAAAAUAUGUUAUUGAAAUAGUCAAGCCUUUUUUUUAAUGCUUUUACUAUUAUAAUGGCAGUACACUUGCAAAUAUAAAUUCAUGUUUAAGGCAAAGAAUUGAAAACAAUUCAUCAUUAGAUAUUUAUGAGUUAAAAGUUGGGUUGAGUCGAGAUCUAGUUUAAAAUAUUUUUCAAGUUUAAGUCUAUUUUCGGGUUAAAAAUUAAUAAAAUAUUAAAAAUAAAUUUUUAAUUGUUAUUUUAUAUAAUUUUAGAAUUAAAUUUUAAUUUUAAAAUAUUUUUUAUUAUUUAAAUUGAAUUCAAGUCAGGCCGGUUCGAACUGCAAAAAUUCUUGUCCAAAUCUGAUCUAAAAACUAAACUCAAUUACCCAAAUUAUUUAAAUUAUUUAUACUAUGUUAAUUAGCAAUUUAAAAAAUUUGUAAAAGUUGAACGUCGACAAUAACAAUAUAGAACGAUUGCAAAGCAAAAGAAAGAAAAAAUAAGAACACGAAGAUUUUACGUGGAAACCCUUUCGGGAAAAAAAGACCAUGGGUAGAGGAAAAAAAAAUUCACUAAUGUCGAAUUCGAAAGAUACAAGAGGAGUUUAGACUACGUCUAUUUAUAGGUUGAAAAAUCUUAUUCUAAUCAAUGUCAAAUUAUUAAAGAGUAGUAAGGUUAAAAAACCUUAUUCUAAUCAAUGUAAAGUAAAAGAAGUAUAGUUUUAUAUGAAUUUUAUUUUAUUUUUAUUUUAACAAGGACUCAAGUCACUCAACUCUAACAAUCUCCACCUUGACAUGAAUUCUCAACGAACAAGUUCUUCACCACGAACUCUUAACGAACAAGUUCUCCACCUAUCCCACGAAACCCUUUAAAGGGUGUUCUUCAACAAUGAAUACCAGUCAAGUCCAAGCAAUACUCAAACUUCUUGGUUAUAGGAAGUGGCUUAGUCAUCAUAUCCGUAGGAUUUUCAUGAGUACUAACUUUGCUCACAACAAUAUCACCACAAGCAAUAAUAUCAUGCACAAAAUCAUACCGAACAUCAAUAUGAUUUGUUCUCUCAUGAAACAUUUGAUCCUUCGUAAAGAAGAUGACACUCUGACUAUCACAAAACACUGUAUUGAUCUGAAGGUCUUUACUGAGUUCACCAAAGAGUCUCUUUAACCAAAUAGUUUUUUUACAAGCCUCGGUAAUCGCCAUGUACUCAGCUUUAGUAGUAGACAAAGCAACUGUAGUUUGCAAAGUAGCUUUCCAACUGAUUGUGCAACCUCCAAUUGUAAAGACAUACCCUAUGAGAGAUCUUCUUUUAUCAAGGUCUCCAGCAAAAUCAGAAUCAACAUAUGUAAUGACUCCAUCCCUAGUUCUUCCAAACUAUAAGCAAACAUUAGUAGUACCUCAUAAGUAUAUGAAAAUCCACUAAACUAUUUUCCAGUAUUCUUUAUUGGGAUUCGCCAUGUAUCUACUAAUUGCACUAACUAUACAUGACAAAUCUGGACAUGAGCAAACCAUAGCAUACAUGAGAGAUCCCAUUGCACUAGAAUACUGAUUGCAAAGACAAAACCGAUGAAAGUCUAAAGUGGGUUGCUAAUAGGGUCCUAAUAGGCUUGGCAUUCUGCAUAUUGAACAUGCAAAGAACUUUUUCAAUGUACCAUUUCUAACUUAGGUACAAUUUACAUGCUUUUCUAUCUCUGAGAAUCUCCAUCUCAAGUAUCUUCUUUACUGCUCCCAAACCCUUUAUCUCAAAUUCUUUAUUAAGUUGGGCUUUGACCUUUCUUAUCUCUUAUUUAUCUUUGGCUGCUAUCAACAUGUCAUCAACAUAGAAGAGUAGAUACACAAAAGAACCAUCACUGUUUUUCUUAAAAUAAAAACAACUGUCAAAGUUGCUUCUUUUGAAAUCAUGAGGAGUCAUAAAAAAAUCGAACCUCUUGUACCACUGCCUUGGUGACUGUUUCAAGCCAUAAAUGGACUUUUUCAACAAGCAAACAUAGUCAUCCUUUUCUGAUACAGUAAAAUCUUCUGGUUAUUGCAUGUAAAUAUCUUCCUCAGAUUCCCCAUGCAAGAACGUUGUAUUUACAUCUAACUACUCAAGCUCCAAAUCAUACAUGGCCACAAUACCAAAUAAGGCUCGAAUCGAAGUAUGUUUCACAACUGGAGAAAACAUAUCUAUGAAGUAUACACUUGAAAUCUGACUAUAACCUUUUGCAAUCAGCCUUGCUUUAUACAUGGGUUCUUCAACUUCAGAGUUCCUUAUUUCUUUUUGAACACCCAUUUACAACGAACAACCUUUUUACCUUUAGGAAAUCUUACUAGAUCCCACGUUCUAUUCUUAUAGAGCGAUUCCACCUCUUCUAGCGUGGCAAUCAUCCAUUUUCUUAAAUCUUCACAAUUAAUUGCCUCAGAAUAAGUAGAUGGCUUUUGAUUUGCAUCUAUAUCUUUAGCCACAUUUAAAGCAUAAGCAACUAGGUCGACCUCAACGUACCUCUUUGGAGGUUUAAUUUCUCUUCUAGGUUUAUUCUUGGUAGUAGAAUAUUGUGGUGAAGAACAACUCUACUCUAAGUUUUUAUACUAACUUAAGUGUUGGAUCACCAGCACCCCUAUGGCGCAGCGAAAAAAAUUAAAAUCGGCGACCCUAACCAUGGAUCCAUGUGUGAAGAACGAAUCGGGGUGAAAAGAUUACGAAAUUACCUAAUAUUUCGAUUAAGAAGAUAGUAACUUCUCGACAAUGUGUAGUCUGAUUUACAGUCAAACCAAGCCGCAAUCUAUCGAGACUCCAACCUCUACGUAAUCCACCCAGUUGACUACGAACGGAAGAAAAUCCCCAAAACAGUUUUGAGAGUUAUAUUUUUUUACGGCUGCUAGACCUUAAAAUAAUGAAAAACGGGAUUCUAAUAUAUCUCUUUUAUUUUUAGGGUUUUUAGGAAUUAAAUAAAUAUAAUAAUAUUUUAAACCGAAAAUUUUAAUUACAUUAAUUAUAAUAUAAUUUCGGUAAACCAUAUAUUUAUUUAAAUUCAUAUGCUAAUCAAAUUCAUGUCCUCAUUAUGCGUACAACAACCUUGUACAUAAUGUGUUGGAAAUUUGAUUACUGAAUUAAAUUAAUUCUAUAAUUAAUUUAAUUCAAGUGACACCCAAAAAUAAAACCAACUAUGGUUUAUUCCGUUCAUUUCAACUAUAGUGUGUGACCUUGUAGGUUCUUGUAACGUUAGCAGUAAUACUAGAACGAUUCCAAUGUUACAAACAAUGAGUGGCAUCUAGCAAUGCAUCAUUCUACCUAAGUCACAAGAGAUCAUGAUUCGACAUAACCUUUUAUGAUUAACCUUUUAUGCAAUAAUCCUUAAGUCCUUUAUCUCUGGAUUGGACACAAGUCAUGGAAUAGUCACACUUGUAUAGUCCAUUCCAUGUUCCUUGAUAUCUUAAGCAGACUACGAUAUACACAUAAGUAUGACAUCUCAUAUCAACUUAUUUGAGCAUGGCCAUGCAUUUCUAGUCUCACUUAAUCAAGUGGCCUAAGAUAUUACUCCCAUUAUGUAGGAGGGACUUAUUCUAUAUCGACCAACCAUAUCCCUCUACAUCGAUUGUGAUAUAUCCAACAUCAGCCUUUAUAGAACAACCAGUUACGGUGUACGUUUAACUGUAUCAAAAUAUAUUACUCACGAUGUUGGGAUUAUGAUGAUCUCAAGUCUGAGGAUCAUAUACAUAUUAAUCACUAUGAGUAAUGUCGUGACAAUUACAUAAUAAUCCAAGAGANNNNNNNNNNNNNNNNNNNNNNNNNNNNNNNNNNNNNNNNNNNNNNNNNNNNNNNNNNNNNNNNNNNNNNNNNNNNNNNNNNNNNNNNNNNNNNNNNNNNAGUCCAAUAUGUUGUUCUCUAACACACAUAUUCAUGCAUCGAUUCUGACAUUCCAUAUCAAUGACAACUCUUUAUCAUCAAUCAACUACAUGUUAGUCUUAAUGCAUUAUCCUUGUCCUAUCCAACAAUAAUACUUGACUAAGGAUCUUUUAAGAAUAAUCAUAUUAUUCUUAGGACAUUAUUAUAAAACAGCUUAUUUAUACACACAGAAAAGAAACUGAAAUAAUAAUGGUAACGCCUUAUAUUAAUAAACAUGAUAAAUCAAGUAUGUUAUUACAAUCAUCUCAUGAUUGGUCUUUGGGCAUACUCUAACAUUAAGAAGUAGACUCUGUUAUAGAUCCUGGAUCAAUCUGAAGCUCCACCUGUUUUUCCUGGUUAUUAUUGGAAGAGUUUUUAAGAGAUAAGUUAGGUAGCAUAGCAGUUUCAUAAAAAAAUAAUAUCUCUGCUAAUCACAACUUUUCUAUUUUCAGGACACAAUAAUUUAUAUCCUUUAACACCAGCCUUAUAACCAAGAAAAAACACAUUUAAUGGAUCUAGGUUCUAAUUUCCCACUAUCAACAUGAGCAUACACAGGACACCCAAAAAUUCUCAAAUUAGAAUAAUCAGUAGGAUUACCAGACCAUACAUUUUGUGGAGUCUUUUUCUCAAUGGCAACGAACAGAGACUGGUUAAUCGAAAAACAUGCAGUACAGGCCACUUCAGCCCAAAAUGACUUCGGUAAACAAGCAUUCGAUAACAUACAUCAAACUUUUUCCAUGAUUAUUCUAUUCAUCCAUUGUGCAAUGCCGUUUUGCUGUGGAGUAUGACGAACUGUCAAGAGUCGCAUGAUUCCUUUUGAUUUGCGCAAUUUAAUAAACUCAUCAAAACAUAAUCCCAUGCCAUUAUCUAUACGGAGGUGUUUUAUCUAUUUUCCUGUCUAGUUAUUGAUCAUAGUUUUCCAAGCCUUAAACACAAAAAACACAUCACUUUUCUGCAAAAAUCAUCAAUGAUUGUUAUCAUAUAAUUAGCGUCACCCUUCGAAGGCACUCUGGAUGUUCCCCAAAGAUCAGAAUGAAUAUAAUCCAGCAUUCUCUUCAUGUUAUGGAUUCCUCUAGUGAAUCAAACUCUCUUUUGCUUCCUAAAAACGCAGUGCUCACAAAACUUUAGUUUGCUAAUGCCUUGUCCAUCAAAAAGUCUUCUUUUGCUUAAUUCUACCAUGCUAUUCUCACUCAUAUGCCCUAGACAUAUAUGUCAAAGUCUAGUAACAUAAUCAUCUAACAAGGAAGAGGAAGCGACGGCUGCAUCACCAGUAACAGUAAAACCUUGCAAAACAUAUAACUUGGCAAUCUUUCUCUGCCCUUUCAUCACAAUGAGGGAAUCCUUACUAAUCUUUAGAACUCCACUUUCAGCUGUGCACUUGUGCCCUUUUGAAUCAAGAGUACUCAACAAAAUCAAAUUCCUCUUCAAUCAUGGUAAAUGUCAUAUUCCACUAAGUGUUCUGAUGACUCUAUCGAACAUUUUAAUUUUGAUCGUGUCAAUACCUGUGAUUUUACAUGAAGCAUUAUUUCUCAUCAAAACAACACUUUCAGACACAAUUUCAUAGGUUGUAGACCAAUCUCGAUUUGGACUCAUAUGGAACGUACAAUCAGAAUCGGGGAUCCCCUCCUCGCUCACUUUAAAUUUGUUGGCAAAAAUAACUAGAAGUUCACCAUCACUGUAGUUUUCUGCUACAUCAGCUUCACCGGAUUGUUCUGGUUGUUUUCCCUUUUGAUUCACAAUCUCCCUUUUGAUCUUGUUUUACAACUUAUAGCACUUAGAUUUAAUGUGCCCUUUCAUCUUGCAAAAGUCACAGGUUUUACCUUUGUUUGAAGAUCUUGAUCUACCCUUAAAUUUGCUGCUAGGAUUUCGCUCUUAUGUCCUCUAACGAUUAUCAUCAGUAUUUUGUUCUUGUCUACCACGAACAGUGAGACCCUUUCCCUGAGAGUCGGAUCCAACUACAGGAUGUUUCAUCUUGUCAUACGAGGCUAAAGGAGCAUAGACUUCAUCAACUGUGAUAGAUUCACAACUAUACAAAAUCGUAUCUCUAAAGGUUGAAUAAGACGGGGUAACGAAUAAAGUAGAAUUAAACCUAAAUCUUCUUUGUCAUACUAAACCUCCAUGGCCUCUAGGUCAGAGAGAAUUUUUUUAAACACAGUUAAGUGUUCGUGUACAGACGCACCUUCCUCCAAAUGAUAAGCAUAAAGACGCUGGUUAUAUGCAACUUGCUAGUUAAGGUUUUCGACAUGUAUAAUUGUUGCAACUUUGCCCGUAAUGCACCGACGAUCUUCUCAUUCAUCACGCCCUGUAGAAUUUCAUUUGACAAAUGGAGAUGUAAUUGUGUUAAAACCUUUCGAUCUUUACGUUUCUUCUCCUCCUCUGUCAAUGUCGAAGGCAUCUUAUCUACCCCUAGCAAGGCAUCCUCUAACUCCAUUUGCGCAAGAACUGGCUGCAUCUUUAUCUGCCAUAGUGCGAACCAGGUGUUGUGAUCUAGUAGUGGAAUAUCAUACUUCAAUGUCGCCAUUACCAUGAUCGAGACAAACAACCCGAAAAGCUCUGAUACCAGUUUGUAAAAGUUGAACGUCGACAAUGACAAUAUAAAACAAUCACAAAUCAAAAGAAAGAAAAAUAAGAGAACACAGAUUUUACGCGGAAACCCUUUCGAGAAAAAAACCACGAGUAGAGGAGAAGAAAAUUCACUAAUGUCAAAUUCGAAUGAUACAAGAGAAAUUUAGACUAUAUCUAUUUAUAGGUUGAAAAACCUUAUUUUAAUCAAUGUCAAAUAGAUGAAGUGUAGUAAGGUUGAAAAACCUUUUUCUAAUUAAUGUAAAAUAAAAGAAGUAUAAUUCUAUAUGGAUUUUACUUUUAUUUUAAUUUACCACUGUAUUUUAUUUUAACAAGGAUUCGAACCACUCAACUCUAUAUAUAUUUAAAAUCAUUCAAAUUUGAAAAAAUAAAUUAAAAUUAAAAAUAUUUUGUUGAAAAUCUGAAAAUUAUUUUUAAAAAGUCCCCCUCAUCUUCUUCAUCUAAAAGAAUGAAGAUUUUCACUGUCAUUUUUUUAUUUACUUAAAACUCUCAGAUCGUAAAAGAUUACUUUUUGUGCAUCCAAAUGAAAAACCCUCAACCAUCCCUUGUAGAAAAGAGAAGACUUGAAGCAAAUGGCACAAAUUCGAUCCGUUUGCGCUUUAAUUUCUAGCGAAAAGUUGGCUAUGUAACAUCAUCAAAACCAACCCUAAUAAAAUUUCUAACAUAGACAUAUUUUUUUAUUUAACUGCGAUUUGUUAUUUAGAAAAUCAUGGUUAUAAUAAAAUUUUAAAAUCAAUUAAAAUUCAUUAAAAUAAUUUUUUAUCUACGAAAUCAAAAUCUAAAUUAGAAAUUAACUGUUAUGCAUGAAGAAGCUUAAUACUAUUUUUGGUCUUUGUACUAUAGUGAAAUUCUUAUUAUGGCCUUUUAUUAUUUUUUGGUCAGAUUGUUUUCUCUAUUUCCAUUUCGUCACUAAGUUCGCCCUUUUAGCAAGUUUCAUUAAAAAUAUUAAAUCCACGAAUGACUUGCUGUGCCACAUUUAAAAAAAUUAAAAAUUUUACUUAAAAAAUUAAAAAUCCAAAAUAUCUCAAAAAUAACAAAAAUUUGAAAACAUAGAAUUUUUUUUUAAAAUAUCCUAAUCUACUUUUGAAAAUUAUAAAAAUUAUUUUUUUACAAAAAAAUUAUUUAAAAAAAUAAGAACUCAUUUAAAUUCCACAAAAAUCAUAAUUUUUUUAAAAGAGUCCCAAAAAUCUUAAAACACAAAAAAAUUAUAAGAUCUUAAUCUAUUUCAAAUUCACUUAAAAUUUAAAAAAUAUAAAAAAACUAAAAUAAAUCAUUAAAAUUCCCCAAAAAAACAUAAUUUUUUUUAAAUCCAGAAAAAUCUUAAAAUUCUGAAAUUUUAAAAAAAAUCAAAAUAUUAAUCUAUUUCAAAUUCACUUAAAAUUUUAAAAAUAUAAAAAACUAAAAAAUAUUAAAAUUCCAAAAAUAUAUAUAUUAAAAAAACACCCCCAAAAAAUCUUAUAACUUUGAAAAUUAUAAAAUAAACUUUUAAAAAAUCUUAAUCUAUUUUUGAAAAUUAUAAAAAAGAAAACCUAAACUUAUAAGUAUGCAGAACUUCAAGAAAAUAAAAAAAUCAUAAAAAUAUAAAAAAUGUUUUUCUUUUUUGAAUUUAGGGUUUUAUAAAAAUAUAGAAUUUUAUGAAAAAUUUUAAGAAUUUUAUGGUAAUUUUUACUUAGGAUUUCCAAAAAAAAAAAAAAUCCCAUAAAUUUCUUCUAAAUUUUAAUAAAAUUCCAAAAUUUUAUAAAAACCUAAAAUUUUCUACAAACCUAAAAUUCCAAAAAGAAACUCAUUUUUUUUAACUUUUUUUCAAAGUUUCGCAUGCUUAUACUUUUUUUUUUCAAAAAAUAUAGUUUUGAAAAAUAUAUUAAGAUUUUUUUAGUUUUUUUAUUACUUUUCUAUGUUUUUAUAAAAGAACCAAAGUGAGAAUUUCAGAUAUUAAGCCAAAAGAUAUUACCUUUUAUUUGAGUUUAUUUAGAGUGAGAUUUCACCGUAUGCAAACAAAAGAGAAUUACAAUACAAAGCAGAUCCUCUCUUUUCCUCCUUUCUUUUUCCGUAGUUUUCUUCUUCUUCUUCUUCUUCUUCUUCUUCCUCUCUUGUAAACUUCUUUUCUUUCUCCUUUACAUGCUUCACUGUUCUCUUCACCUCUCUCUUUUUUCUUCUUACCUUUUUUUGCUUUUCCAUGCAAAAUGAGGCAGGAGGCCAUGCCACCCUUAAAUGUUAAUAACACUGACAAAUAACAUAAUAAUCUAAACUAAAAAAUUAAUAGUCAAAAUCCAAAAUAAAAUCGAGCUAUGAAAGUGUAGCAACAUUCAACUUAGAUUUUUCAAAUUAAACCUAACCCUAGAAUUCAGAUUUAUUGAAAGUGACUUUAAAAUUAAGUUUAGCCCGGAUAAAAAUAAUACCUAUAAUAUAAAUAAUAUUUUUUAAUUAUUUUUUAAUCAAAUUGAUGUUUGAUUAAUGGGUGAUACCGAUACAAAAAAUUUAAAUAGAAACAUAAAUUCUAAUUUAAAUGUUUUAAAAGAAAAUACUAAUUGUUCAAGACUGUAUUUAAUUCAGUUCGUUUUUCUUCGAUUUGUCCUUCUAUUAGAUGAAAAAAAAACUAAUAAAACGACUCGUAAAUUAAUACAUAUUAAUAUUUUUAUUUUUAUCGUGUUAUUGAAAACUAUGGGAUAUUUUACUUUUGAAUUUCAUAUAAAUAUUAAAUGUGCAUAUAAACUCUUCAAGGAUAAUUUAAUUAUUAUUUAAUAAGAAAAUUUUAAGGUAAUAAAAAUUGUAUGUGAGAGAACCCGAUGUGAUGGCUCGAGCUGAUGUGAGUUUCUUUAUUGGCCUAAUAAUAAAUUUAGUCUUCUAAUAUUUACACGUUCUACCCAAGUUUGGAAGUUACUGAUGAUGAUAUGUCCAAGUAAAAAAAAAGGCGAAAAAAAACAAAUUUUCUAUGUUUUGAAAGAUUUCGCAUUUCAUUGUUUCCUCUAUUUGAAUAUUAAGUAUUUGUACAUUUUUUAAAUAAGAAAAACAUGGAAAUAAUUAUUUUGUAAUUGUUUAAAGAAUUGUUAAUUUAUUUAGAGGAAUUGAUUCUUAGAUUAUAUGAUAUUAAUCUAAAAUAUGACACUAAAAUAGUUGGAUUUAAGCCAACUUGAUUUUUUACCAUAUUCAAAAAGGCGAUAUUAAUUUAAAAAGAGCACAAUACAAAUAGUGUUAAAUACUCUUCUUGUUUAGUAUAUUUUGGAGGUACGUUAAAGAAUAUUUAAAAAAAUUUAAAUACUUUCCAAUUUUCUAUUGAAAUUUUUAGAAUUAGAACUAAACUGACAAAUUCUGUGAUGGCUAAAUUUAUUGAUUUUUUUUAGAAUUCGAACUAAAAUGACAAAUUUUGUAAACAUUUAGGGCUAAUUUUGUUGAUUUUGUUUUAGAUUUAGGAUCAAACUGAUAGAAUGUGUAAAUAUUGGAGGCUAAAUUUGUUAUUAGAUCAAUAAAAAGGGCUUACCGAGCUUUUCAUCACUCAUCUAACAACAACUAACGAGAGAGUGACUAAAAUAUUUAAUUUCAAAAAAUUGAGUGGCAAAAUGGAAAAAAAAAUCAAUAGUCAGGUGACCAAAUAGAACCGAAGGCAUAAUUGGUGACUAUUGUUGUAGUUUACCCUUUUAGUAAUUAAAAUUAAUUUCUUUCAAUAAGUUCAAAUAAUAGAAAAUAAUUAUUUGAUAAUUAAAUGAAGAACUACAUUGGUAGUCACUCAACUAUUAGUAUUUUUUUUUGUCAUGCAACUAUGAAACUUUACAAAAAUGGUCAAUAAUUAUUCAACUUUUUUCUAUUUGGUCAACCAACUACCGGCCAUUAAUUUAUACAUUGUGUCAAUUUAGUCUUGAUUCAAAAAAAAUUAACCCUCAACAUUUACACAUUGUGUCAUUUUUUUUUGCAGUUUUACUUUUAUUUGUGACAUUGAGGGUUAAUUUUAAAAGAAUGAGAAAAUAUGAAAAUUAUUAUCUUGGAUUUUGGGUGUUUUCAUUUUUGAUAUAUUUCCGAUUAAAUUUAGUUGAUAGAUUGUUUUUCUUAGCUUAUUAGGUGAAAGGGUCACAAAGAAAAACAAAGAAAAAAUACCAAAUUACAUCAUGUGUAAACACUGAGGGUCACAAUGUAUAAAUGUUGAGUGCUAAAGUUGCUAUUAUGCCAAUUUUAAAAGUUAUACGUCACCUUUUAUUCAAUCAUUCAACGACUAGUGAAAACGAAAAAACCAAAUAGUUGAGUGACCACUUCGUAACUUUUCAUAAUUGGGUGGCUAAAAAAAGAAAAGUACUAAUAGUUGGAUGACUUGAAAUGUAAUUUACCCUUAAAUAAAACAAUGGAUAAUUUGUGAUUGGUGUCCCAAAAUUAUAAAAAAGAAACUAUAUUUGCUAUAAGAAAGGUUAUAUCAACUAGAUAGACUAUAGUGGACAUUAAAUGACGUACCAUAAAAAAUAAAAAGAAAAGAACAAACAACUUCAAAACCUAUAUAUAUAUAUAUAUACAUAUAUAUAUAUAUAUAUUAUUUAAAGGUUGUAUUCUUUUGACUUAAAAAGAAUAAUUGAGGCUAAAGAGAUUGCAAUGAUUUAAGCAUGUUAUUCAUGACUAUAAUGUUUUGGAAAAAUAUAUAAUAUUAUACUUUUUGUAAAAUCAUAAGGAGCGUUAAUGAUUGACAAGUAUCUUAUAAGAAUAUAGUAAAUUUUUUUAAAAAAUACACAUUAUAGUUUUUUAAGACUGUUUGUGAAAUUAAAAAAAAUACACUACUAAUGUACAAAAUACGUAUUGUCGAAACCGUUUUUUGAAAACAAAAAUUUUAGUUUCGACUUAAAAAUAAAAACAAAAACUGGAGUCGCCACCGAUCAUUUAUGAAGGUGUGAUCGGCCCACCUUAAAAAUAAUUUUGGUCUGCGAAAUUCGAGAAAACAGGCUCGGGAGUCAGUUACGCACGAGGAAGGAUUAGCACCCUCGUAACGCCCAAAAUUGGUACCAAAUUGAUUUUUUUUAAUGCCUUGGUGUCGAAAAUUUGAAAAGAUUUUAAAAGGAAACUUUUUAUUUCAUGAAUGGAUUAAAAUAAAAAGACAUUCGUAUUUCAAAGAAAUAAAACACCACACCCAGUGAGUUAGGGCACAAUGUUUUUAAAUCUUCAAAAUACCCGAAUAUUGCCUUUUGCUUUUGAAAAUUCUUAUUUCGAGAAGAAAAUGUCAUGACCAGUAAGUUAGGACCCAACAUUUCGAAUUCCCGAGAAUAAGUUUUUAUUUAAAAUUUGAAUUUAUUGCAAAACAAAUAUUUGGCUUUCUAAACUCAUCGAAAAAUAAUCGCGAUCCAAUAAGUUAGGACACGAUCUUUCACGAGAAUCAUGAAUACCAAAUAUUUUGGAAUUUAUAAAAUAAGAUGAUUUAAAUACUUUGAGAAAACAUAUAUUUUCUUUAAAAGCAAGAUAAAAUGUUAAUAUACAACAUGAUACACAUAUUUUAAUUUAAAUUAUAAAUGUGCAUGUAUUUACAAAAUAUAUAUAAGUGUAAUACACAAGUAAAUUUGAAAAUAUGUGCAUGCGUAUGUUUAACACACAUACACAAAUAUACAUAAAAAACAUGCAUAGCAUAACUUAUAAUAAUCUCCAAAAAUAUGUACGUAUAUUUCAUAAAACAUGCAUAUGUACAAAAAAAUAGAAAAAAAAAAUGCAUAUGCCUUGUAAAAUAUGAGAGUACAUACAUAUAUAUAUAUAUAUAUACAUAUUUAUUUAUAAAAACUAUGUAAACAAAAUAUAUAUAAAAUAUGAGCGUAUAAGGACUUCAAAGGAGAUUGGAUUGGUUACUUCAGUCUGCUCCACUGCAACUUCAGGGAGAUAAGACUUGUAUAUUCGAUCUACUUCACCACCAGUAUGGGAAGACAAGAUCUGUUUUCUUCGAUCUACUUCACGCCAAUACAUGAGGACAAGAUCUGUUUUUUCAAUCGAUUCCACUGCCGACCGGGGAGGUAGAAUUACUGGCUUCAAUAUACUCCGCUGCAACCUCAGGGAGGUAAAAUCCGCCAUCUUCGAUCUGCUCCACUACUGCUUAGGGAGAUAAGAUCUGUAAUCUUCAAUUUGCUCAACUGCAAUGUCGGGGAAACCAGAUCCGCCGUCGUGGCUUCAAUCUAUUCCACCGCACCGUUAGAGAAGUAAGAUUUGCCGUUGUGGCUUCAAUCUUUUUAAUUGCAAUAUCAGGGAAACCAAAUCCGCCGUCGUAGCUUCAAUCUGUUCCACUGCACUGCUAAGGAAGUAAGAUCCGCCGUUGUGGCUUCAAUCUUUUAAAUUGUAAUAUCAGGGAAACUAGAUCCGCCGUCGUAGCUUCAAUCUGUUCCGCUGCACUGCUAAGGAAGUAAAAUCCGCCGUUGUGGCUUCAAUCUUUUUACUUUUCAACCCGCUCCAUUGUUACUCACGGAGACAAGGCUUUAUGAUUUCACCGAUCUGCUCUCUGUGGAACAUGACCUGUAUGACUCACUUUAUGAGCCUAAUUAUGCCUAAUGAUUAGGAUGUCAUGAUCAGAAUGAAUCAAAUGCUCCUAACUAGGCGUGUAUAAAUGACAUUUGAAUAUUAUGUCAUGAAAAAUGAAUAUUGAAUGUGUAAAGUCAUUAUUGCUCAUUAAGGCUUCCUUCGUGGCAACAACGCUUCGUCAAAACUUGAAAAAUUUAAAAUCUCGACUCUUGGCUCCUAGAUAUCUCCGACCUUUUAACCCAGUGAAGGUCUAAACAAUAGUCCUGUUUCAGGUUCCUGAGUUAUUUAAAGAUUUCUAGAGUAAUAUGAAAAACUUCCCUUGUGAAAGUUUUACUAGUCCAUUAAUCGUCAUUCUAAUGCAACAUGCUUGCGAAAAGAUCAUAACGAUAACAUAAACAAAAUUAGUCUGGGAGGAUAGCUCGCAAUGGAUUGUCAAUGAUAGAGGAAUUGUCUGGGGACAUUUAUAUUGAAAAAAAAUGUCAUAAUUUAACAAUGAAUUCAAUACAAAUACUAUGAACAUGUGCCCCAGAUAUCUCUGCUUGAAUUUCUCUAUACAGCUUUCGAAGACCCUUUUGAAUUCAACACGUGUUUAGGAAAUUCACAGUAUUUUGUUGAUGCCCCAAGAUGUCGUCUAUUCCUUUCUGUCGAUUUAGGUACAGCAAGACUACCACGUGACAACCAAAAUUUGAGCCGCCCUUUUUGGGUUUUCAACUCAAAUCCCCUUUGGUCUUAAGGUGCCCUUUGCGGGUUUUCACCUUAGCCUCUCCUUUCCUUUUCUUUUCUUUUCUUUUUUUUUUUUGGAAUCAAAGCGCCCUUUGCGGGUUUUCACCUUGGUUACUUCCCUUCUUCAAGUAAAGUACCUCUUCACCGAAUCUGAAUUUACCGGAUUAGGCAAGUUUUUCCCGUCCAUUUCAGCCAGGAUCAGGGCUCCUCCAGAAAAGGCCUUUUUUACAACAUAAGGACCCUCCCAAUUCGGCAUCCAUUUCCCCUUAAAAUCCUUUUGUAGAGGAAGAAUUUUUCUCAACACCAGGUCCCCCUCGUGAAAUUCUCUGGGUCGGACUUUCUUGUUGUAGGCUCGCAUCAUUCUUUUCUGGUAUAUCUGACCGUGCUGAAUAGCCUUUAGCCUCUUUCCCUCUAUCAAGUUCAACUGAUCGUAUCGAGAUUGAACCCAAUCCGCUUCAUCCAAUUGUAGCUCAGACAAAACCCGGAGAGAAGGGACUUCAACUUCGAUGGGCAACACUGCCUCCAUGCCAUAAACUAAGGAGAAAGGCGUUGCCUCGGUGGAGGUCCUGGUUGACGUUCAAUAAACAAGGAGGGCAAACGGUAAUUUCUCGUGCCAGUCCAUGUAAGUCUCAGUCAACUUCCCUACAAUCUUCUUUAUAUUUUUAUUGGUCGCUUCUACUGCACCAUUCAUUUUCGGGCGAUACGGCGACGAAUUGUGAUGUCUGAUCUUGAAUUGACUGCAGACCUCUGCUAUUGAGCUGUUGUUCAAAUUCAACGUAUUGUCGGAUAUGAUUCUUUCAGGCAUUCCAUACCGACAUAUGAUCUCUCUCUUCAAGAACUUACUGACUGAUGACUUUGUAACAUUAGCAUACGAAGCAGCUUCUACCCAUUUGGUGAAGUAGUUAAUAACCACGAAUAUGAAAUGAUGCCCAUUUGAAGCCUUUGGCGAUAUUGGCCCGAUAACAUCCAUACCCCACAUGGAGAAAGGCCAUGGAGAAGUCAUGACAUGAAGAGGUGAAGGAGGUGCAUGCAUUUUAUCACCAUAGAUUUGACAUUUAUGGAACUUCUUGGAAUAAUUGAUGCAAUCCCCUUCCAUGGUAGACCAGUAGUACCCGAAUCUCAUAAUCUGCCUAGCCAUUGUGAACCCGCUGGCAUGCGUUCCGCAGAUGCCCUCAUGGACUUCUUCUAGAAUUUUCUUUGCUUCUACGGCGUCCACACAUCUUAGCAGUACCUGAUCUUUUCCCCUCUUGUACAAGAUCUCCCCAUCUAAGACGUAGUCAAUGGCUAGUCUUCUCAGAGUUCUCUUUUCAUUCUCCGUUGUCUGGCCAAGAUACUCACGAUUUUUUACAUACCGUAGUAUAUCUUGAUACCAAGGACUAUCAUCGAUUUCCCCUUCUUCAAUAUUGUAACAAUGAGCCGGGUCUUCAUAGAUACUCAUUUGGAUUGGUUUCAUAUCCCCAUUUCUGUUCAGUUUGAUCAUGGAAGCUAAGGUAGCUAGUGCAUCAGCCAUCUGGUUCUCAUCUCGUGGGAGAUAGCAAAAAGUGAUGUCCUCAAACUCCUUAAUCAAUUCGAGGACCAACUUUCGGUAACUGAUUAAUUUGGGAUCUCUCGUUUCCCAUUCACCCCUGAGCUGAUAUAUCACCAAUGCUGAAUCUCCAUAGACCUCUAGCACUUUGAUUCCUCGCUCUAUAGCUGCACGAAUACCCAUGAUGCAUGCUUCAUAUUCUGCCAUGUUAUUUGUACAAUCAAAAUCCAAUUUACAAGUGAAAGGAUAAUGAUCACCAUUUGGGGACACCAGGACUGCCCCAAUUCCAUUGCCUACAGCGUUCGAGGCUCCAUCAAAGUUUAGCUUCCAACUGUGACCUUCUUGGGGACUUUCUUCAGUAGCGGCUACACACAUCAGGUCCUCAUUUAGGAAAUCAAAACUCAACAGCUCGUAGUCCUCCAGAGCUCUACUAGCUAGAAAGUCAGCAAUUGCACUCCCUUUCACAGCCUUUUGGUUCACAUAGACAACAUCAAAUUCAGACAAUAAAAUUUGCCAUCGGGCCAUUCUCCCAUUCAAAGCAGCUGACUCCAUCAUAUACUUUAACGGGUCUAACUUUGAGAUCAGCCAAGUCGUAUGGUAUAACAUGUACUGCCUUAAUCUUCGGGUUGUCCAAAUCAAGGCACAGCAUAAUUUCUCAAAUAGGCGAAUAUCUCAUUUCACAGUCAGUGAAUUUCUUGCUGAGAUAAUAUAUCGCUCUUUCUUUCCUCCCCGUUUCAUCAUGUUGACCUAACACACACCCCAUGGAAUUGUCAAAUACCGUUAGAUACAAUAUCAGAGGCCUAUCCGGGUUAGGUGGUGACAGCACUGGAGUAUUAGACAAAUACUGUUUCACUUUGUUGAAAGCUUCCUCGCAUUCCUCAUCCCAAGUACCAGGAUUAUGUUUCUUCAGAAGACGAAAUAUAGGGUCACAUUUCUCAGUCAGUUGUGAAAUAAACCUAGCGAUGUAAUUCAGUCUUCCUAGGAAACCUCGAACUUCUUUCUGAAUGCGAGGUGAAGGUAAAUCUCGUAUUGCCUUGACUUUGUCUGGGUCAAUCUCGAUUCCCUUUUCACUGACUACAAAGCCUAGCAACUUUCCUGACCUGGCCCCAAAAGUGCACUUCGCUGGAUUAAGCUUGAGUUAGAACUUUCUCAAUCUUAAGAAUAACUUUCUCAAGACCCACACAUGUUCGCCCUCUGUUCUAGAUUUCGCGAUCAUAUCAUCAACAUAAACCUCGAUUUCCCUGUGCAUCAUGUCAUGGAACAAGGCUACCAUGGCUCUUUGGUAUGUCGCUCCUGCAUUCUUCAAUCCAAACGGCAUCACUUUGUAACAGAACGUCCCCCAUAACGUAAUGAAUGUAGUCUUCCUCAUGUCUUCAGGAUGCAUCUUUAUCUGAUUGUACCCAGAAAAACCAUCCAUGAAGGAAAACAGUGAAAAGCCCGCAGUAUUGUCUACCAAUGUGUCAAUGUGAGGCAAUGGGAAAUUAUCCUUUGGACUAGCCUUGUUCAAAUCCCGAUAAUCCACACACAUUCGUACUUUUCCAUCNNNNNNNNNNNNNNNNNNNNNNNNNNNNNNNNNNNNNNNNNNNNNNNNNNNNNNNNNNNNNNNNNNNNNNNNNNNNNNNNNNNNNNNNNNNNNNNNNNNNCUUGCAGAAACCCGGCAUCAAACUGCUUUUGGACCUCCUCCUUUUAUCUUCAACACGAUAUCAGGCCUCAUCCUUCUGAGUUUUUGCUGCACUGGCUUGCAAUCUUCUCUUAUAGGGAGACGAUGGACUACCAUGUCGGUACUCAACCCCGGCAUAUCCUGGUAUGACCAUGCAAACACGUCUUUGAACUCUCGGAGUAAUUCAAUGAGGUCCUGCCUUGUCCUUUCAGAGAUAACCGAUCUGAUCUUCACCUCUUUACCCUCCUCUAAGCUCACGACUUCUAUUGAUUCCCUGUGAGGUAGGAUUUAUUUCUCGGCCCUUUCUACCAUCUUUGACAAGUCAGGAGACAAACCACAGUCUUCGUUGUCUUCAAAAUUAUGCGAUCCCUCUAAACACAUGUUUCGUUCAAAAGGAGACUCUAAAUUUGUAAGAGUGACAUUCGCAUCAUUGAUAUCAUGGGACCUGUUAUAAGUAUGAAAAACAAUAUGGAUUCAGGAAUUUGUUUGGUGCAAUAUGGUCAUGAAUGAAAUGCAAGUGUAGUUUAAGAGAAACUUAAAAUAACUGCUCUUAUGGGAAGAAAGAUUUGCUCCAAAAAUGAUUGCAAACAUGAACUUUAUUAAAAUAACGAUUUUCUGGACAUGAGCCUAUUUCACAAAGGAAUCCUUAUCACUUCUAGGCUAAAAGGCAAUAAGGGUGUUCUGGACAUUACUCUGGGGAAAUCCUAAAAACUACAGGUAUUUCUUCUGCAGUCCAGUUGUUUAGCUCCCUUUCCGACUCGUAAGGACGAAUAUCUGGCAAAGCUCUUCCUCGCGUCACUUCUUCAUACACAACAUGAAUACUCUCUAGCUCCAUGUUAAUACUUCUGACCCCUAGCAUUCUUUGAUAGGUGAAUCCUCCCGGUACAAAAGUCUUGGAUAGGUGAGGAAAGGUCAUGGGUUCCCAUUUGACUUCAUCACCUGUCAAGCGAGCCCUUCUCCGCACUCGCUUAUUUUCCUGCUCUAUCCUCUUCUGCCUAGCAUCUGGCUUGUAUUCUAAGCCAAAACGAUCCUGCUUGUCUUUCAACACUAGAGCCUCAACUCGGCCCUGAAGAUAUCUCCCCAAUCCUCUUCUCGGUAAUGCUCCCUUUCCAACAGUCAACUGCAGACCCAUCUCUGUGGUCCUGGAUAUUCUCGGCAUCGGGAUCUUGUUUCCCUCACGGAUGAAUGUUGCAUUUACAAACUCCAAGGAACGAAAAGAGCAUUCGAUUGGAUCAUCGCUCGUUUCUAGAUAAGUCGCAUCGUUGGUCACAGAUGCAAUGAUAUCUUCUUCAGCAUCUAUCGUCACAACCCUGCCUUCUGACACCAGCUUCAGUUUUUGAUGUAACGAUGACGGUACCGCACCUGCUGAAUGAAUCCAUGGCCUUCCUAAUAGGCAACUGUAAGAAGGCUUGAUGUCCAUAACUAAGAAGUCCACCUCAUAAAUAGUUGGGCCAAUUAACAAGAGAAUGUCAACUCUUCCCAUGACCCUCCUCUCAGUACCAUCGAAUGCUCGAACCACGUUCUGACACGACUUCAUAUGCGAACUAUCCACAGGUAGCCUGUUGAGCGUGGAUAGGGGAAAUACAUUUAAUGCCGAUCCAUUGUCUACCAGAACCCCCGGUAAUAUGCACCCUUUACACCUUGCAAUGAUGUGUAAAGCUCUAGUGGAUCCCAUACCCCCAGGUGGUAUUUCGUCAUCGCUGAAAGAGAUGAAGUUAUCAGCGCUUAUAUUACCGACCAGUCGAUCCAACUUGUUAAUAGAGAUAUCAUCGGCCACAUAAGUUUCAUUUAGCACCUUCAGUAGUGCAUUCUGAUGUCCCUCCGAGUUCAGGAGUAAAGCUAGCACAGAUAUGCGAGCUGGUUGUUUGUGCAGCUGUUCCACAACGCUGUACUCGCUAUGUUUUAUGAACUUCAAGAACUCUCUAGCUUCCUCCUCCUUGAUUGGUUCAUUGACCACCAAUUCAGGUUCGACCGUCUUCUUCUUCUUUCCAAUCAGAGUUUCUUCUCUUAUUGGCUCUACUCGAGCCUUCACCUGUUCGUUAUACCCUCCUUCAUCAUGGUCCUCCUUCCCUGGGAUUGUCACAUUACAAUUGUAAUGCCAAGGAACCCUCCUGUUAUCCUUGUAAGUAAACGCAGUCGGUUUUUGAAUGAUAACCCUUGGUGCUACUCGUGCUCCAGCCUCACUAUUCUUAGGUUGUGAGAUGAUGACCACAGGAUGGUUAACCUUUGGAACUCCCAAUGCCAACUCUGACGUACAUACAUGACUCUCUUUCUGAAUUCCUUCCCAAAAUUCCAUCUCUUUAUUAUCUAUCAUACCCUGUACCACGGCUCUGAACUCCGUACACUCCUGGAUUUCAUGCCCCAUUUCACAGUGGAACUCACAGUAGUUCCUCCUCUUCUCACAGCUUUCUUCUGAAGGAAUUAGCCCCCUUUUCACCAUCUCUUUCCAGACCCAUCUCAAAGGAGUCUUCACGUCCGCAAUGUCUACCUUAAUUCUCAUGUCUUCGUCCAUCAUAUUUACCCCACCAUCAGUGUGAUUUGGUAAUGGGUUCUCUGCCUUGGUGGCUUCAUCAAAUUUAACGACACCCAUACCAAUGAGCCUUUCAACCAGCUUCUUGAAGGCCGUACAGUUUUCUAUGGAGUGCCCCGUGAUUCCCGCAUGAUAGUCGCACUGUGCAUUUGCGUCGUACCAUUUGGGGGACGGGGGCUGUAAGGGCUUCAGAUAGAAAGGGGAAACUACAUGUGCGUCGAAUAAGUUUCGGUAUAAUUCCCUGUACGACAUGGGAAUUGGCGUGAAUUGGGGCCUCUCCGUAUUUCGCCUUGUACCGACCUUCUGUCUCGACAAGCUUUGUUGAUUGGCAGCCGUCUUUCCUGGCUGACUCACUGUUACUGACUUCGAGUAACCCUUGUUGUACAUGCUCACGUUGUUCACCUCGUUUUCCUUCCUUUUCGAAGCUGAUCUUCUGUUACUCUCUCCAGCAUCGAUCUUCCCACUCCUGAUGGUGUUCUCAAUCAUCUCGCCAUUCAUGACUAUGUCAGGAAAGCUUUUUGUGGCACUUCCUAACAUAUGUGUAAUGAACGGUGCCUUCAGGGUGUUAAUGAACAACAUGGUCAUUUCCUUUUCCAAGAGCGGUGGUUGAACUUGGACCGCGACCUCCCUCCAUCUCUGUGCGUACUGCCUAAAGCUUUCGCUCGGCUUCUUCUCCAUGUUUUGAAGGGUGAUCUUAUCAGGAGUCAUGUCUGUCACAUGACUAUAUUGUUUCAUGAAUGCUUGCGCCAAGUCCCUCCAUGAACCAAUCGUAGCUCGACUCAACUGAUUGUACCACUUGGAUGCUGCCCCUGCAAGGCUGUCUUGGAAGUAAUGUAUUAAUAGCUGGUCAUUACUAACGUAUCCAGCCAUUCGCCUGCAGAACAUGGUGAUAUGAGCCUCUGGGCAAGUCGUCCCAUUGUACUUCUCGAAUUCAGGCAUCUUAAACUUAUGAGGGAGAACAAGAUCCCGCACUAAACUCAGCUCUUUUGCGUCAAUGCCUCGAUAGCUUUCAGUAACUUCCAUCGCCUUGAACUUCUCCUCAAGCCACUUGCAUCUCUCUUCCAACUGUCUCGGUAACUCCUCCUUCACUCUUUCCUUCUCAACUACUUCAUCAAAGUCAGGAAUGGCAGAGUUAAUAGGAUUAUUUUCGGGAUUAAAACACGGCCCAGUUUGGAGGUUCGAAACACCAGCUUGAAAUUGCUGAGGCAUGAUUGUGACAGUAGAUUUGCGCGGGUAUUCAUCUUGAGUUCGCUCAUGUGGAGGGGUGAAACCUGGAGGAUAGAAAAGUUCAUCAUCAUUUCCCUCAUCGACAUCUGCCAUGGGGCCCUUUCCUUUGUCACCUCCCUUAGUUAUCAGUCGGGUUAACUUUGCCACUAUAUCCUCUUGAGAUUCCCGCAUCUUCUCAGACAUUUCUUGUUUCAUCUUGUCUAACCGCUCCUGCAUUUGUAGCUGAAUCCAGUCUUGCAUCUCCUUCUGGUACUGUUCGAGCUUUUCUAAUCUCUGAUCCAUAUCUCUUGUCUUUGUUCGAGUGCCGUAUCGGUGUUGGAUUGGUUGGUUGGUUUCCAGGUUAACUGAGCAAUAAUUUUAAUUAAUUAGGAUCAAUUCAAAGUUUUGAAUGCAUAUGAUGCGAUGCAUGAGAUGAAUGCAAGAAAGGCGUUAAUUAUGAUUCAAUUCCACUUGGAAAACUUUAUUAGAAAACAAAUCUCUUUACAUAGAAUAGACUACAAAUACGACUUCGCCCUAAUACUUAAGACCUUGAUUUUUUGAAGCAACGAGGCUAACUCCCGUCCCCGGUCUGACUCCAAUUCAUACUUUACGCUCAACGUGUCAGCUUGUACUGCCAGAGUUUGUAAGUGAUCAGCUACUUCUCGAAUCUGAACCAAGGCUUGUCCCAUAACACGAUCCCUGCUUCUGACCUAAUUCUGGAGAUAGUGAAGCUGUUCGCUUUGAUGAUCUUUGUUUGCCUCCAAAUACUCAAUCCUGGCUUCACAGUUCUGCAAUGCCACCUCUAGUUCUUCUAUAGUUUUCUUCAUUUGCUCGAUUCUACUUAAACUUGCUUGCAGUUCCACCACUGAAUUACGAUUUCGGUAUUGAUGAACAAUCUUCUCAAGUUCGGCCACUCUAGCCCUUAGUUUAUCCCUUUCAUCUUGAUUUUCUGACAAACUCUUCUCAAGCGAUCUAUUUUGCAUCUGGGCUUCUUGGAAUCUUUCUUCCCAUCUGCCAGCCUUGGCUUUUUCUUCUUGAACCUCUUGACGCCACUGCUCUGAGGUUUUUCCCAACCCAGCAGUUCUUACUGACAGACGUAGUCUCUUAUAAUCCGUCUUCAAGCUGUUCAAAUCUUCCUCGACUUUGCGCUUCCCUUUUCUCAGGCCUUCGGUUUCCUGCAUUUGAACAUCUAUGUCCAACUUUAAAUUCACCUUUUCCUCCUCCAUUUUCUCUAUUUUCUUCUCUAAUUCUGCAUUCCUUCUUUCGAGGUCUUAAUUUAUGAUUUCCAGCUCAGAAGGGACGACGCACAAAUGCUCCUCUAUCGACUGACUAUUUUCUGAACUUGGCCCGGGAAUGUUGUCAUUAAUCCUCCUAACACGCCAUUCGUUAUAUUCAGAAGUUGUCAUUGGACCCACGGCUAAUCUCUUCAUUCGGCGAGUCUGAUUCCACGCAUUGGCCAUCUCACGAGCCUUCCUUUUGUAGCCAUCAUCCUUAUAUGAGAAUUCACACUCAGCUAGUCCUUGAGUGGCAGGCACAAACUGUCUUGACCUGUACUGUCUUAACACUAGCAAUGGGGCAUAACCAACAGCUCCCCAAAUCCCGAGCAACGGAACCCAGUCGAAAUCGCCACACCUAUAUAGGAUCUCAUCUGGAAGCAACCACGGAGCUCUCCACUCGAUAUCUUCUUCUUGCAGAUUCUGAAAGAUUGCCAUCCAUUUCUCCUCUGUAAUAUCAUCUCUCCUUGAUGCAGCCACUAUCUCUUUCAACGGUGAAUAACUUUCAGAGAAGACCUGAUAUGAAACCUUAUCAACCUUCCAAAAGUGGCUAUGGAACCACCCAAGUAAUAACUGCGCACAUCUAAAAAAUCUGCCCUCUCCCGUUCUUCGGCAUGCAUUUAAUGACCUAAAGGUUUCUGCCAAAAUCACCGGAACUGGCGUAACUCCCUUGUCAAGCCGGUCGAAUAAAUCAGUGACCGCCUAAUCAACAUGUCCCAAAAUCUUAGGAAACAAGAUUAGACCAUAUAUACUUAGAGCAAAGACGUCCACUUUCUUCCUCGCAUCUGGGUGUGCUAAAAUGAGGUCCUUCAAGUUUUUCCAAGGAAUACACCUACUAUCCCCUUUUUGCUUAAUCCGAGCUGUAACCCACUACUCAUUUAUCCCUGUUAUACUCAUCAACUUCCUCAAGAAGGUUGGUACAUUCACCGCUUUCGAAUAAAUUCUAUCCACCUGUACCUUCGAACACCGAAGUAAAGCCGUGUACUCCUCUAUUGUAGGCACUAGGUCAACCUUUCCGAAUGUGAAGCAACUGUACGCCGGAUUCCAAAACUGGGCAAGAGCUCGAAACAGACGGUUGUCUACCUUCAUGUCAAGUAAAUAAGGUAAAUCCCCAUAAUUUGAAUAGAAUAGCUGUCUAACCUCAUUAUCCCAUUGAUCCCAAAUCUCCUUCAAUUCCUGCAAGUUGUUCUGAGCUACGCUAACACGAGUGAAGUCCCAUAACUCUGAUACGUAUCCCACGGCCAAACUAUCACCUUUUUCAUGCUGUAUCUUCUCAGACCAAGUCCGGACAGCCGUAUUGUCUUCCACUCUAUCAAGAAACCCAUUUCCCAUGAUAAACUUUCUAUAUGGCAACCGAAUAUGAACCAACGCCUUUAUAAUGAAAUGUCAUGCAAUUAUGAUGUCAUGCAAUCAAAACAAAAGAAACCCAAGUUAGUAUCACAUAUAAAAAUAUAAUCCAAACAAGAACACUUAUUUAGGAAUCUACUAGGGUUCAGUAUAGUUCUCCCUAGGGCAAGUUCCUAAAGCUCACUAUAUGAGGUUUAGUUUCUAGAGUAAGGGUACCCGAACCAACAGAUUCCUCGAUCCUCACCCAUUAUAGGCUCAUACAGAUCGAGUUCAGUUCAGGGGGACACAUUUCCCUAUGGCUGCACGGAGAUGAAAAUCUCACGAAGACAUAGGUACGAAUGUAUCCCGGAAGCAGUCCACUAUCCUGCACGGAGGUGAAAACCUCACGAAGGACUAGUUUCUCGCUCCCACUUAAGGGUAAAAUGCAAAAUGCAAAUGCAAAGUUGCCAAAGUUCCAUGAUAAAAUAUCAAUGAGUGCAAAGGGAAAAUUUUUAAAAACUUUUUGAUUUUCGACACAAAAACAAAUAUGAUCAGUUUAUGGCUCGACUCUCUAUGUCCCCAGCGGAGUCGCCAAGCUGUCGAAACCGUUUUUUGAAAACAAAAAUUUUAGUUGUCGACUUAAAAAAAACAAAAACUGGAGUCGCCACCGAUCCUUUAUUAAGGUGUGAUCGGCCCACCUUAAAAAUAAUUUUGGUCUGCGAAAUUCGAGAAAAUAGGCUCGGGAGUCAGUUACGCACGAGGAAGGAUUAGCACCCUCGUAACGCCCAAAAUUGGUACCAAAUUGAUUUUUUUUAAUGCCUUGGUGUCGAAAAUUUGAAAAGAUUUUAAAAGGAAACUUUUUAUUUCAUGAAUGGAUUAAAAUAAAAAGACAUUCGUAUUUCAAAGAAAUAAAACACCACACCCAGUGAGUUAGGGCACAAUGUUUUUAAAUCUUCAAAAUACCCGAAUAUUGCCUUUUGCUUUUGAAAAUUCUUAUUUCGAGAAGAAAAUGUCAUGACCAGUAAGUUAGGACCCAACAUUUCGAAUUCCCGAGAAUAAGUUUUUAUUUAAAAUUUGAAUUUAUUGCAAAACAAAUAUUUGGCUUUCUAAACUCAUCGAAAAAUAAUCGCGAUCCAAUAAGUUAGGACACGAUCUUUCACGAGAAUCAUGAAUACUAAAUAUUUUGGAAUUUAUAAAAUAAGAUGAUUUAAAUACUUUGAGAAAACAUAUAUUUUCUUUNNNNNNNNNNNNNNNNNNNNNNNNNNNNNNNNNNNNNNNNNNNNNNNNNNNNNNNNNNNNNNNNNNNNNNNNNNNNNNNNNNNNNNNNNNNNNNNNNNNNCACAAGUAAAUUUGAAAAUAUGUGCAUGCGUAUGUUUAACACACAUACACAAAUAUACAUAAAAAACAUGCAUAGCAUAACUUAUAAUAAUCUCCAAAAAUAUGUACGUAUAUUUCAUAAAACAUGCAUAUGUACAAAAAAAAUAGAAAAAAAAUGCAUAUGCCUUGUAAAAUAUGAGAGUACAUACAUAUAUAUAUAUAUAUAUACAUAUUUAUUUAUAAAAACUAUGUAAACAAAAUAUAUAUAAAAUAUGAGCGUAUAAGGACUAAAAUAUGUAUGUAAGCAUAUAUAUAUAUAUGAACGUAAAACUAUGAGAAUAAAAUAUAAAAACGUGUGGAUGUGUACAUGUUUAAAAAAAUGUAUAAACACAUAUAUAUAAAAUAUAAGGUAUAAAAAUAUAAAGGAUAAAAGAUAGAAUAAAGGAAAUAAAAUGUAUGUAAAACGUAUGCAUGCAUUUUAAAGCUUAAGGAUGUAUAUAUGCUAGAAAUGAAAACAUGAAAAGUGAAUAAUAAAAGUUAUACGUUUGUAAAAAACGAAAUAUAAAACAAUAUGUAUAUACACGUACAUGAAAAUCAUAAAUGGAAUUAGUGUAAUAAUAAUAGUAAUAAUAAACGUGUAACAGUAUAUUAAAAAAAGAAAAAAAACUAAAUAAAGUAAAGAAAAGACCAAAUUGAAUAAAAAAACCAAAAAAAUAGGGGCAAAUUCGAAAAUAAUAAAAAAGGGAUGAAUUCGAACACGCGAGCGGCAAUGGGGGACCAAAAGAGCAAUUUACCCAGGCCUCCAAAACGCUGCGCUGAAGGGGACUGAAUUGAAACGUGAAUUGAAUAUGCGGCCCAAUUUUAAAACAAAAAAAAAGAUUUAAUUGACAUGCGCUGCAAAAGGGAGGGGUCAAAUGCACAAAUAACCCAUAUGACGUUAGAACGCGCGGAUCCUCCCCUCCGGGUCGGGUCACCGCGCGAGUCACACUUGACCAAAACGACGCCGUUUUGAAUGUUGUUUAAAACAAAAAUUUUCCUUCCAAAAAAAUCCAUUUGAAAUCGAAUGGGAAAAAAAAAAAGAAACUCCGGCGCUCUGCUAGGGUUCAAUCCCUAGCGUCCUUGCGCCGCCACUCAAUCGGCCCUCUCACCAAACUCCGAUCACGACAGAGAUGGCGGUGGCACGGCGUUUUUAGGUAUGUUUUCCUCCCUUUUUGUUAUUUCAAAUGAAAUAAAAUGAAAAUAAAGAAAAAAAUGUAAAAACGAUAAACACUUUUAACAAUAAAAAAGAAAUCACCUUUAAAACAAAACAAGUUUUUUUCUGCUUUUAUUCCCGAUUCUCUCCGUCAAAAAUCCGUCCUUUUUACAGAUAAAAGUCGGCCUUUUAUAGCCUGAAAACCUAUUUGUUUUACACUAUAUUUUCGCUAAUGGACUCUCUGAAUCCGUGUUUGCAGGUGCGUGGAGAGUGGAGGCCGAAACGUGCGGAGGCUGCAGGAGGCUGUUGCGGCGCUGGGCAUGGGCUGCUGAGGCUUGCGGCGCUGAAGCAGAGAGGCUCUAGGGUUUCUGCUUUCAACGUUUUUGGUGUAUUGGGCUUGAACGGCCCAUUUUUGUUUUGUAAAUGGUCUGGGCCAAUUGGGCCUUAUUACACGUAUUAUAUAUAUAUAUAUAUAUAUAUAUAUUAUAAACCAAUGGCUAAAAAUUUUUCUAAUCCUUCUAGCUUUCUUUAUAUGAGAGUCGUUAAAUUUUAGUUUUGAUUCGUAUACUUUGCUCAAAUUUUAAAUUUAAUCUAUAUACUUUAAUUUUUCAUAAUUUAAUUUCUCAUCCUUUUUAAUAUCAUUAGUUAAUUUAAAUAUUUUAUUCCAAAAACUUGAAAUAUAAUAAUUUAAUUAAAAGAAUAAAUAAUCAACACGAAGCAUGGGUGAGAAUCAUAAAUCAUGCAUGACUUCUAUCAUUAAGUAUCCUUAGCAGUCUUUUUAAGCUGUUAUUAUUAUAUUAUUAUUUUAUUCGUGCAUUGAAAUUAAAUCAAAUCCGAAUAUAAUACGUAAUUUCUUUUUGACCGGUCCAAGAUUAAGUUUAAUAAAAUCUAUUUGCUGUAUAUUUAUUAUUAAGAAACAUUGGUCUUAGUACGUCUCCUUUAGAAUAUUUACACUUAAUUCGCAUUAAAUAUAAAAUAUGAUUAUAAUUAUUUAAAUUCUUUUGUUUGGAAAGGAUAAAAUAUGAAUAUUUACACUUGAAAAGUAUUUUGUUUAAUAGGUUGGUUUGUCUUAAUUUUGAAUAUGGAAAUUAAGUUAUCUUGGAAAAGGAAGUUACAUGAGAGAAAAACUUGUUAAUCCUUAGAAUUUUCAGCAUUUUUAUAGUAAUUUUGAAAUGGUUAAUAUUAUUGUUGAGUAUGACUUAUAGUUAAAUUUAAGAGAUAAUCUCUUAGUUAAACUCUGUUUAUUUGUUUCAGUUAAAUUUUGAUUAGUCUAGAUUAUUUUAUUAUUAUUUGACCUACGAAUUUAGCCUAUAAAUAGGAUCUUUUACAACAUUAUAAAAAACACCCAUUAAAAUAUUAGAACUCAUAACACUUUUGGAGAAUUUUGUAUUUACAUUUUGAGGGUUCUUUUUUUUAGGUUUCGGGGUUUAGUUUUUAUCUUCAUCUUUUGUAAUUUUUAUUUUUUUGUCAUUAUAGUAAAAUUAUCUUUAUCCGUGGUUUUUUAUCCUCUUUGGAGGGGUUUUUUUCACGUUAAAUUUGUGUGUUCAAUUUCUCAAUUGCUUCCGCUAUUUUUUACUUGUUUGUUGCUUAAUCGGAUCAAUUCCCAACAAUCAUCAUAUAAUAUUUUUUAUAUGUUGCUAGUGAAUUGAGGACAUAUUUCUAAAAUUUAAAUGAAUUUUUUCUUUUGUAUUCUUUAUAUUCAUUUUACGGUAAUGCAUCACAUAUAAAUCCAUUUUAAAUUGAAAUCCAUGUUUUAUCAUUUACAUUAUCUUAUAUUAUUUUGAGCUAAUUCAAUCAAUUGUCUCUAAAUUAUUGUCAAUAUUUUUAAGGUAUAAUGUCAAAUUGUUUACAUCUUUUUUCAGUUUGGUUCUUAUUCUUUUUUGAGUUAUAAAUUUGGCCCUCAAUUUUUUUUAAAAAAUUGUCAAAUCACUUUUUAAUGAAAAUAUUCAUUAAAACCUUAUUUUUUAACGAUGUUGGUAUGUCAACCCGUGUGGUAAUCCACGUGUACUUCAUGCUAACAUGACACUUUAUCUUAUAUAUCACACCAAGAAAUAAUUUAAAUUAUAAAAAAUUCCAAAAAAAAACGAGAGCAUGAAGUACAUGUGGAUUGCUAUGCGAGCUGUCAUGUCUAAAAACCUAAUGUUUAGCUAAUAUUUCCGUUAAAAAAAUAACAAUUUAAUUUUUUUUGAAAGGUUGAUGGUCAAAUAUGAUUUUUUUUUAAAGGUCGUGAGCCAAAUUGAUAAAAAAAAAUGUAAACAUUAAGGGAUAAAUUUGACAUUAUGCCAAUUCUUAAUUAGUUUUAAACUUCAAAAUAUGUUAUUGACAUGGUAUCAAAUAGGUUUUCCAUUAGCAUAGUAGUUAAUUUAAGUGUUAAAUGUCAAUUAGGAUAUAAUGUGGAGCCUACUUAAAACAUGAAUUAAAUUGUAAAUUUGAGUAUUGUCACUUCCCAAAAAUAAGGCUAGAAGAAAUAGGGAUAAAAUUUAGAUUUUAUUUUUUUAAGCAUAGGGUAAAAGAAUUUAGAAUGCCUUAAAAAUUAUUUUUGAUAAGAAAUUAACAAGAAUUAGUCUACUAGUUCAUUGGUAAGGCCUUAGCUUUCUCUUGGGUCUCAAGUUUGAAAUCUCUUGUUCACCUUUCAAGCAAAAUAUUUUAUUUUCUUAUUUUUACCCCAUAAAAGUGCCGAAUUUUCAAACUAGCCCAAACCAAAAAUUGUUAUUUUCUAAUUUAGUCCUUAAUUUAAAAUAGUCUUGCUUCUCCAUGGAAUCCUAAAACCUAUUUCAAUUAGGGAAAAAGAGUUUUAUAAUUAGGAAAUCUUUUCAAAACUCUAGAAAUUUUAUCUAGUGAAUUUUUCAAGGAAAACUCUCAAGUUCUUCAUUUUCUCCAUCAUUACCAAACCAAUUUUCAAGCAAAGAAAUCCAAGGUUUCCAAAAUCGUCCCUCUCCUCCCAAGUAGACCAUCAUUCUCCUCAUCCAAAUUAAGGUUUUUGUGUCUUCGAAUCAGGUGUGGGAUCUAAACAUAAAUCAUUAUAUAUGAUUAACUGUAGUGUUAGGAAGUAAUAAGACUGCUAUGCAACCCCUCAUGUUAUGCGAACCCCCUUGCAUGUGCGAGCCCUGUGUGUGAUCCCCGUGUGCAAAACCCCCUAUGUGUGAGCUUGUGAGCGAACCUCUAUACGCGAACCCCUAUAGAUGAACUAUAGCUUGUAUAUACAUAUGCAAACCCUCAUGAUUUUUAGUAUAGGAUUUAAGUUGCAAACCCUAUAUAUAUUACGCGAGGCAUAUAUAUCAUGCGCACCCUAAACAUACUUUGCGAGCUUUAUAUAACAUGCAAACCCUAGGUAAUAUGUGAAUCGAGUAUAUCAUGCAAACCCUAGGUCCUAUACGAGCUAUAUAUAUCAUGUGAACCAAAGCUUGCAUAUCAUGAAAAUCCUAGGUACUAUGCGAACCCCCUGUGUUACAAACCCCCUGUAUGUCCGAACUCUGUUAGGCGAACUGAAGCAUAUGUGCGAACCCUACAUGUACGAACCCCUAGGUGCAAACCCUACAUGCGCUAACCCAUAUGUGCAAUCCUAUAUGUGCGAACCCUGUAUGUGCAAACCCUGCUUAUGUAUGUGUUAGCCGAACUAAGAAUGUUAAUAUGCAUGAAGAUAUUGUAUAUGUGAAAUUGUUUUAGAUCGCUUAAAUUAAUUGUAUAUGUGAAAUUGAUGGGAAUGGAUGAAUGAUCACAUGCCAUUAAAUGAUAGUAUGAAAUAUCAAAUGAAGCAUUGAAAGAUGAUAAAUAGCAUAAUAUGCUAAUUGUAUGUGCAUAAUUACAUGAAUUUAGGUAAGAAGGUCGAAGGAGUUCCAUAGGAGAUAGUGGCAAUUCAAGUCCACACCAAAAGUCAGUAUUGCACAGAGUAGGUGGCUAUGUCAUCAAAACUGGAUAAAUCAGGAUGAUAGUUUAAAAAGCCAUAAAAAAUCGGGUAACUGAGAUGGUAAGUUAUUGUUGUAAAAGUCAUCGUCACAUAUGACAAGUGAACGACCAUCGUCAUCGGAAAUCAAAUCCGAGAUGGUUAGUUUUUUUUAUGUGUUUUGGUGUGUCGAGCGAUGCUUGAUGGCGAUUAAGAUGGACAGGUUGGAAAUUAAAUUUAUAAUUGCAUUUGCAUCAUGAAUAAACUAUAUAUGCAUUGAAUCACUACAUGUUCCUUACAUCAGCUUAACUUGUAUUAUGCUUGAUUUGUUAUUAUGCUAUAAAUUAAAUUCUAUAUUAUUUGAAUGAUUAUAUAUAACGGUUUAAAAAUUAGACUCACACUGAGCUAUCAUAAGCUCACCCCCCAUUUCUUUACCUCUUAGGUAAUGCAGGAAACUAGGUCUCGGAAUGGCAUAAGAAGAACCUCGAAUUAGCAACUUGUUUUGGUUUUAUUUAAAAGUUUCAUUAAAAGUUUUCCUUAAUAAUUUAUUUUUGGGUUUGUAAUUAUUAAGUAUUUUCUCGUUUUUAUAUCAUAGGUUUGGGAUUUGUUUAGCUUAUUUAUUUUAAGCAUGUCAUUUGAUUAUUACUCUAAUAUUUGCAUGCUAUUCAGUAUAGGAAACUAUUAUUCUAAAUGUUUUCUGCUGCUUUACAAAAUACUUAAAGUUUUGAUAGGUCUUUUCUUAAAAACUUAAAAGUCGUUUUCUUAAAACUUCAUAUCAAUUAUACUGUAGAUGAACUAAUAAGUCAAAUUGGUUUAAUGAAUGAAUGUUUUUCUAAAAACAAAAGAGUAUUUCCAUACAAAUCAAACGCAUCUAAAAAGAACGGUUUUACAGGAUCACUUCGGUGAUCGAAUGUAAUGCCUUUGACUUAGCCGAAACUCCUAGGCCAGGUCGAGGAUGUUACAUAUAUAUAUAACUACGACAUGAAAAACCUGGAUUUGACGUAUUAAAAACUAGUAUCAAUUAAAUUUUAUCUAUGCAAUAGAUAUAUAUGUUUUUUAUAAUUUGAUCUACGAAUUUUAAAUAUAUUUCAUCUCAAAUUUGAGUUGGCAUUUAAUGCCUAAACUAAUUGUUGAAUUAAUAAAAGGACUUAAUUGAUAUGAUAUGAUAAUUUGAGAACUAAAUUAAAACAUUUUAAAAAUUAAAGAUGAAUUUAAAAUCCCAUAAUUUGAGAACAUUGCGUCUAAUGUGUUUAUGGUGAAUUGUAAACAAAUCCUUGGUCAAACCUGACAUGCUCUAUAAAAAUCCAUGAAAAAUCAGUUGUAAAAAGGUAGAAAAGAAAGGCAAAUACUUUCAGAUGCUUAACCGACUUCAUUCAAUUUUUAUUUUCAUAUAAAAAAUACUUAAUAUAUUUAAUAUAUAUUUGAUGGUUGAAUUUUUUACAUAAAAUAAAUUAAAUUUAUAUAAAAUUUGUUAUGCAUAAUUUAAAGGAAUAAACCAUAAAACAUAAUGGUUUUAUCGUUAAAAUAUUAAUUAUAUAAAUAAUUAUAAAAGUGUAUAAAAUUACUUUAAUUUUUAUUAAUUUUUAAUUUCUUCGUUAUUAUUUUUAUUAAUUUUUUUUAAAAAAAUUAUAAAAUAUUUGAUGUUUAGAAUUUUAAGAAUGAUACAUAUAAACAAUUUCUUUUCUUAGUUUUUAAAUUCAUCCAUUUAAAAACAAUUCUGAUAUCCUAAAGAGAGUGGGUCAAAUAAGUAACAAAUUUAUUUAUUUUAAAAUGCUAACAAGUAAACAAAUACAUUUGAUCACUAAGGAUUAAAAGAAACAUGACAAACAUUUUUUAAAGUAAAAUUUUAAAACUUUAUAUCAAAAUAAGUCAGUAUUUUGAAUACUAUAGAGUCGUAUUGUUCUUUCUUUCCAAUCAUAUUUCCUAGGAAAUUAAUAUAAGAUUACUGGUCAAAAGUUUUGUGAAGAGUAUGUCAAAAGCAGAGAAAAGAAUAAAUAUCAUUCAUGCCCUCAAACAUUUUGAUCGAACUGCAAAAGUUUAAAGUAAAUAGAGGAUAUUUAAACCUUUUUUACAGACAUCAACUUUGAAUCAAAAGAAUCAAACAAAAGACAAAUCAACAUUUCUUUUAAUCUAUUUGUAUUUCUCAUGCACUUUGUUUUCUUGAAUUUAAGUUCUCCUUUUUUGACUUCAAAUAUCACCACUAUUUUUCUUACCUAUAAAUACAUGCAACAAUUGCACUCUUAUCCUCACACAAAUUCUGUGCCAAAUUUCAAGAGCAAACCAAGAAAAGGCUGCAAAUUCAGCUUUUCAAUAUCUGCUUUUGAUCAAUCGAAAUGGCUUCACAAGUUUCUCAAAUGCCUUCUUCAUCACCCCUUUCUUCCAAUAAGGAUGAAAUCCGUCCCAAAGCCGAUUUUCAGCCUAGCAUUUGGGGAGAUUUCUUCCUCAAUUGUCCCGACAAGGUAUACAUACAUAUCACCAUAUUGAUAUAAUCUUAACAUAUUAUUUGUUCAAUUAUUUAGUGAUUCAAUAUGAAGAAAAUUUUCAUUGUUUUGAGCAGAAUAUUGAUGCUGGAACUGAAAAACGCCACCAACAAUUGAAAGAAGAAGUGAGGAAGAUGAUUGUGGCACCAAUGGCUAAUUCGACCCAAAAGUUAGCCUUCAUUGAUUCAGUCCAAAGACUGGGUGUGAGUUACCAUUUCACCAAGGAGAUCGAAGAUGAACUAGAGAAUAUCUACCAUAACAACAAUGAUGCCGAGAACGACCUCUACACUACAUCUCUUCGAUUCCGACUACUCCGAGAGCAUGGAUACAAUGUUUCAUGCGGUAAUUAUUGGAACAGAAACAUAGUGUUUUUAAGUUUCUUGAGAAUAUAAUAGCAUGGAAUGUUUGAUAACGAUAUUUCAUUUUGGGUAAUUUCAUGUCAGACGUAUUCAACAAGUUUAAAGACGAGCAAGGGAAUUUCAAGUCAUCCGUGACAAGCGAUGUUCGAGGAUUGUUGGAACUUUACCAAGCUUCCUAUUUGAGGGUUCAUGGGGAAGAUAUAUUGGAUGAAGCAAUUUCUUUCACCACCAACCAUUUAAGCCUUGCAGUAGCAUCUUUGGACCAUCCUUUGUCCGAAGAGGUUUCUCAUGCUUUGAAACAAUCAAUUCGAAGAGGCUUGCCAAGGGUUGAGGCAAGGCACUAUCUUUCAGUAUACCAAGAUAUUGAGUCCCAUAAUAAGGCUUUGUUGGAGUUUGCUAAGAUCGACUUCAACAUCUUACAAUUUUUGCAUAGGAAAGAGCUAAGCGAGAUUUGCAGGUAUGUUUUUUAAUCUCUUUCACCCAUUUUUUCUUUUUCAUCUUAUUUAUUUAUUUAUUUAUUAGUGGAAGGAGGGUUGAAUUUAUUGGAGACAUCAUUCUCAGUAUAGGAGACAAGUUGCAAAUGCUAAUAUUUGAAUCUUAUUAAAUAGUACAAGUUAAAAGUGAUGGCAUGAACCUUGGAUUCAUCUUUUUCACCUAUAUCAUUUUACUUAUAAAUAUUUUAAUAUUUGAGGUUGCCAAUUGACUUAAAUCUAACAACAUGAAUGUGAAACUAAUUGAAACAUUGAAUAUUAAUUGUGCUAAUGGGGUUUUUUAUGAUAUCAUUUUUUAGGUGGUGGAAAGAUUUAGACUUUCAAAGAAAGUUGCCAUAUGCAAGAGAUAGAGUGGUUGAAGGCUAUUUUUGGAUCUCAGGAGUGUACUUUGAGCCCCAAUAUUCACUUGGUAGAAAGAUGUUGACAAAAGUGAUAGCAAUGGCAUCUAUUGUAGAUGAUACAUAUGACUCAUAUGCAACAUAUGAAGAGCUCAUUCCAUAUACAAAUGCAAUUGAGAGGUUAGAUUUCUUUAAUUUUGUUGGUAAUAGGUUAGGUUUCUUUAGUUGAAGUUAACAUUCAAUAAUAUAUUACGAGGAAUGAUUAAAUAUAACGUUGAAGUUGGAUUCAGGUGGGAUAUCAAAUGCAUAGAUGAACUUCCUGAAUACAUGAAGCCGAGCUACAAGGCACUAUUAGAUGUUUAUGAAGAAAUGGAACAACUGGUGGCUGAGCAUGGGAGACAAUAUCGUGUUGAAUAUGCGAAAAAUGCGGUAUGUACAUCAACAAACAUUUAUUUUGUACAAAAGAGAUAAGAUCUUAGCUAAAUUCUAGAUUUGAAUAAACAACUAACUCGAAUAACAAUAUAUAAUCAUUUAAAUAUUAUUAUCGAAUUUGAAUUGAUAUUAGUGAUAAUUGUUGGGAUUUUUUCGCUUCAGAUGAUACGACUUGCUCAAUCUUAUCUUGUGGAGGCCAGAUGGACUCUUCAAAACUACAAACCAUCAUUCGAGGAGUUUAAGGCUAAUGCAUUGCCAACUUGUGGUUAUGCCAUGCUUGCUAUUACAUCUUUCGUCGGCAUGGGAGAUAUCGUAACACCAGAGACCUUUAAAUGGGCAGCCAAUGACCCUAAGAUAAUUCAAGCUUCCACAAUUAUUUGUAGGUUUAUGGAUGAUGUUGCGGAACACAAGGUAUAAUAAUAUAUUUAGAUAACCACAGGAAACCGAACUCUUAACUAAAUAAUUCAAUGUCUUUGUAACAAAAUCAAACGAUGGUUUUUAUCAUGAUCUAAAAAAAAAUAAAGUUUAAUGUUUAUAUAUAAAAUGUUUAGUCUCAAAUUGAAGAAUAAGAAAAGAAAUCUAGUUUCAUUUUAGGGCUUUUAGUGAGGAAGUAUUGUCAAUAAAUGUAUUUUAUCGUCACAAACAAAGGUAGUUUAAUAAACUGAUAGAUUUUAGGGUAUAUAGUGAUAGAAUAAUUUUGAUUUUAUUAUGGCUGCAGUUUAAGCAUAGGAGAGAAGACGAUUGCUCAGCAAUAGAGUGUUACAUGGAAGAAUAUGGCGUAUCAGCACAAGAGGCAUAUGAUGUAUUCAACAAGCAUGUUGAGAGUGCCUGGAAGGAUGUGAAUCAAGAGUUUCUGAAACCAACAGAAAUGCCAACAGAAGUUUUAAAUCGUAGCCUAAACCUUGCAAGGGUGAUGGAUGUACUUUACAGGGAAGGAGAUGGAUAUACAUAUGUUGGAAAAGCGGCUAAGGGUGGAAUCACUUCAUUGCUUAUUGAACCAAUUGCACUUUGAAAUUUAUAUUAAAUUUUCCUCUUCAAGCAUCUUCCUUAAGAAAUAGUUAUUAAGUUCUAAUUAAUAAUGUUGUAUAAUAUUCAUAUAUAUUAUCAAAGAAAGUCCGAAUCGAUUGUCUUUGUACUCAUUACCUUCUAUUAAUUCAAUAAAGUUCUUUUCAAGCUUUCCAUUAUGAAAAAUAUUCUUUUUUAUAUUUUAUAUUUACUUAUUUUUAUAUACUUUUUUAUAUAAAAGAAUAUGUGAUGUAAAAGUAGGACGAAUUAUAAAUAUUGGAAUUAAGAUAAUAAUAAAAAUCCACUAUCCCUUACCACUUUAAGUUUAUUGACAUAAACUUUGAACUCGUUAUUUAUUUAAUUUUGAUGAAGUUUGACAUAUAAAAUACAUUGAUUAAGUUUGACAUAUAAAAUACUCACUAUUAAUUGCGGCUUAAAAAUCAUCAAAUUUGUAGCCAAUCUUAAAGGAUUAGUAGUCAAUUUCAAAAUAAUUAUUUCUUAAAUGGAAUGAUCGGAAUGGAUUAAAUUGGUUGAUUGAUUAAUUUUUUUAUCAAGUUUAAUUAGGGAAAUAUUUUGUUUCAGAUAUUGGAGUGGAUGAUUUCCAUAAAAUAGAGACAUAGAUGUGAUUGAUCAGACUGACAGUACAUCGGACAAGAACCAAGUAGAAUAAAUUCUAGAUCCAUUUAUGGAUUUAUUCACUUAUGACAUUCAUAGUGUGAUAUACUUUAAUAUUGAAUGGAUAAUUGAAUGGAUAAGGGAGUAUGUAUAUGUGACUCGGAUGCUUUGAUGUAAAUGAAAACAGGUGUUCAAAUAGAUAAAUAAUCCAAAGUUGGUACAUUGGGUAUAUGACUUCUGCAUGAUGUAGGAUCAUUCCACAAUAGUGAAAUUCAUAGCCCAAUUAAGGGGAAAUGAUGAUAGAUGGAAAGUAAUGUGACCAUAGGUCAUUUGUCUUAGAGAUAAAUUAUUUAAUUAGUAAUUGACUUUUCAUGAAUGAAGAUGUUAUGGUUACCAUGACAUAAAACAGUAUCAUAAUGGGAGCACGGGUUUAUCUCAAAGAGAUUAAGGAUAUCCUAUGAGAGUAACAUACUUAUGACAAGGUAUUUGAAUGAACACUUAAUUAGUAGAUUUUAUAAUAGUAUAUAAUAAAGAAGUGUUCAAUCAUGGUACUUUAGUGGAAUGACUCUAUAAUUAAAUAAUAUUGUAAUUAAUAGAUGAAGAGUCGAAACUUAAUUACAAAUUAUUUGAGCCAUAAUUUUAUAUGUUCAAUUGGUCUCUCUGUUAGCUCAAGAUAAGUCAAAACAAAUUGCAUGCAAAACCAAUCAUAUGAAAUGAAUGAAAACAAUGAAAUAAGAUAAAUAGAUUGCAUGUAUACUAUCUGUAAUGAAUGCAUUUUCUCGCUAAUUACAAAAGAUGACUUAUAAAUUAAUUUAACUUCUUUAUAUUAUUAUUUAAUUAAUUGUAAUUAUUUAGAAUUAAUUUAAUUUGUCAACAUGGAUUUAUUGAAAGGGAUAAUUAAAUAUUUUUCCUCCUAGAUUCUAAUACGGUAAAGUUGUGUGACUUCAACAAAAUUAGAAUUGGGUUGAGAAAAGAAUUUAAUUGUGAAAUUAAUUUAACUAAUUAGUUAAUUAAAUUAAGUUAUUAAUUAAUAUUUUAAGAAAUAGAAAAUAAUUAUUGGGUUAGAUAAAUUAUAAAUAUUAGAUAAAAAUCUAGAUAACACAUAUAAUAGUACCUAAUACAUGAAAGACUCAAAUUAAGCCCGGUUUAAUAUAAGGAGUAACAAACCCUAAUACCCUAGGGGUGCCACUACCCACUCCUUAUUCUACUUCCAAGUAGAAUUUAUAUUUUUAUUAAAAUAUAUAUAAUUAAUUACACUUAAUUCGAACAAAACUCUUAUACCAUAUCUCUAUAAAUAACACAAUUUUGAGAGCACCAUUAUUUUGUCGAAAAAUAGUGACAAUUUUAUUUUAUAAUAAAUUUUAUUUUUUGAGAAAAAUUUAAUUUUUGGUUAUAGAGAGAAUUAAUUUUCCCUUUUGAAAGUUAAAAAAAGUUGUAACACCCCAAGAUUUGGGAAUUCCUAAAUUUGGACGCAUAGUUCAAAAGUAAUUUGUUCGUUCAAAAGUCCUAAGUUGUAACACAUGCAGAAUAAAUUAUUAUGAAGAAAGAAAGAUAUUAAUUUCAUUGAAAACUUUGAAUUAUAAAUAGACGCCUUUGGUGAAAUUUACUUAAUUCCCUUUCAAUAUUUCAUUUCAAUUCUAAUGUAUUAGAUUUUCUUUUAAGGCAUCUAUUGGAGCGAGCGUAGUAACUAAUUUUUCGUAUUCUGUAGGUUCAUUAAAGGAUAGAUGUUGACUCUAAAUUUUAAAGCCGCUUCAUAUUUAGGACCCAUAAAAAAAACAUUAUCAUCUCACUUAACUCUCGUAGUUAAUGUAUUAGAAUAUUUUAAAUGAUGAAUUUAAAUAUAAAUUUUUAGUAUCGACUAAAUCAUACAGCUACGGAGAUUACAAUUCAAAUUAAAAAAUAUGUUAAAUUAAAUAGUGAAAAAUACGUUAUUCAAAGAGUGAAGCUGUCUUGUUUGUAUGGUUAGAUUUUAUUAGAAUUUUUUUUAUAUAUUUCAUGCUUAUUUUAUGGUUUACGUUUAUCAGUUUUCGUUGUUUUUUUCAAUGAAUUUCGUAACUAUACAGUGAGAAUCCGUCACUAAAGUUGACUAAUUUGUCAUUUCCGAUGAUUCAAAUGACUUUUCAACACUCUAAGUCUAGAGUCAAUAUUUUAUUGCUUUUUUUUAGAUGGCUGAAAAUAUGAUUAAUGUGCCUUUCUUUUCUUCCUUAAAUUAUGUCAUUAUGUUAAUUAACUUCUUUUUUUCAUAUUAUUUCAAUAUAAUAUAUAUUAGAAUAAAUUUAAAAAAUCAAAAAUCAGUUUUGAGUAAUUAUUAUUAUUUGAAUAAUCUCAUUAUAGGUUCUGGUCAUAUUAUUUUUAACACAAUGGUUAAAACUAUCCAUAACCCCUCUCCAACGAUAAAUAAGACUCAAACGCACAUACUCCUGUAUUGACAACAAUAUCCAUGUUAAUCGAACUAAAAUUUAAUCGACAUAGCUAAUUUUUUUUUAAUAUACGAUAAAAGAUAAACCAAACUUUGAUCUUAUUAAUCCAAACUCAAACAUGAUUAUCUUGAUUUGAUAAUAGGAAAAAAUUUAAAUUAACCCAAAAUAACUUAAAUGGAAAACACCCAAACUUUAAAACUCUUGCAAGUAUUUGAUUGAAGAUUGUUAAUUAACAUUUAAAAAAAUUGUUUUACGUUCAUUACAUUAUUUUUAUUAAGCUAAAAAGUAAUUAAUGGUGUAUAUUUUAAUGUGAUCCAACACCAUAUGUUAAAAUUUAUUAGUAUUCAUUUUCAAGAUUUGGUUAUGAUAUUUAAUUUCGUUUAUCUUAUACUCUUGUUUUCUUUUCCCAAGGAAUAUUCAAUAAAUGUUGCCAAUGUAUAUCUCAAAAUAAUGACUAUGAUUUGAAAUAAAAUAAUGUUAGAUGCAUGUACCUUUCUCUUUGUUUCUCUAUUCGAUUUUUCUUAAUGAUAAUUAUAUCUACCAUUUGAGUAUUUAAUCAUUACUAGGGGACUGAAGGUAGAAAAAAUAUUUUCAUUAACGUUUAUGUAAGAAUUAAAUAAAAAAAUUUGAUUAAAAUUGUAAAGUGAAAUAUUUAAAAAUUAUAAUAUAAAUUUAUCGAUUCUAUAUAAAAAUAUGUGAAAAAGAUAAAAUCACCCUCUGACGAAUUUUUAAAACCAUACGAAGCCGCCACCAAUUUCUUUUAAAGAGUGGUUGACUGCAUAGAAAGUUUAAAAUCAUUAAAACAAAUUUUGAUGGGCGAAACUAAAUCUGAGUUUAAGAGCACGAUUAUGCGUCAGAAAGAAAGAUGUUAGCAUCCUCAUGACACCCAUUAUUAAAGGGAUACCAAAAUAAUCAUGAGUAUUUGUAGAUUGGAUUAAAAUAACUUUAAUUCUAAUAUUUAAAAACCAUUGCUCAUAAUAAAAAAUAAUUUUUAUUUAUAUAAAAUGAAUUUUUACUAGAUCCAAAAUGGUUGGUAUCCUUUGAGAUAAAUAGUAAGAAUACAAUAAUAAAUUAAGCUCUCAACGUUUAUAUUUUUGUCAAUUUGGCCUUUUUUUUUUCAAUUAAAUUUUGUCAUUAAACUUUUAAAAAGAGUUGAAUCGCUUUUCUUUACUAGAAAUGUUGAUUAAAACAUUAAGUUUUUAACAACGUUGGCAUGGCAAUCUAUGUGUACUUCACACAACAAUUAAUUUAAAAAUAUUCAAAAUUUAAAAUUUAAAAAAAGUUAAUAAAAACUCAAAAGAAAUUUGCAUGAAAUAUAUGUAAAUUGUCAUGUGAGGUAUCAUGUUUAAAACAUUUAAUGGUUAAAUUCAAUUGUUAUUGAAAGAUUAAUGGUUAAAUUUAACUUUUUUUUAUAAGAUUGAUGACAAAAAAAUAAAGGUUAAAUUGAUAAAAAAAAAAGAUAAACAUUAAAAACUAAAUUUACGAGUAUGCCUUUAGUCACAUUUGUGGGUGGUACAUAUACCCAAAACACUUUGUUGGGUACUUUACUAUUGAGGUUGUCCACGAUAACAUAUAACCCACAUGUGGUGUUUCCACUUUUGAAACCCAAAAGAUAUAUCCCAAGUGCAUGUUGCAUAGAAGACUCAAACACGCACACAUCCUAAUAACACAAACAAAUUUUGCAAUCUCUCACAUGAAAUAAACAAAAUUUGCAAUCUCACACUCUGAAGGACUCAAGAAUAGUGAGAUUCCAAGAGCAUGCAACCAUACACCUAAAACCAUGAAAUUAUUUACCUUCAAUUCGUGUUUAUUCGAAGUAAGAUUUCAUCGUAUGCAAACGAGAGAGGGUUACAAUACAAAGUAGAUCCUCUCUAUAUAUAUGCUCCCUUCUUGGUUCUUCUUCUACCUCACUUGUAAGCUUCCUGUCUUUCUCCUUUGAAUGCUUCACUGUUCUCUUCACCUCUCUCUUUUUUCUUAUUACCUUUUUCUUUCUCUUCCCUUGCAAAAUGAGGGAGGAGGUCAUGCCACCCUUAAAUGUUAAUAACAUUGACAAAUACCAUAAAAACCAAAAAAUAAAAAUAAAAAAGAAUCAAAAUUUAUAGUCAAAAUCAAAGUUAAGGUCAAAAAUUAAAAUCAACCGCCGAAACUUAGAGCAAUAUUAAACUUGGAUUUUUCAAAAUUAAACUUGAAAUAUGGUUACCUGCGGUAGUGACUUUAAAAUCGAGUUUUUCCCGAAUAAGAAUGAGUUACAAUACAUAUAAAUAAUAAUUUCUUAACUAUUUUUCUUUAAAUUUUAAAUUAAAUUAAUAUUUAAUUGAUUCGUGAUACCUAUUUAAAAUUUUAAUCUAAAGUAAAUAUAUCCAUCAAUAAAUGUCUUAAUAAUACUAUCACUAUCUAUAUUUUUAGUAAUUAAAAUUAAAUUUUCGAUAAUGAUCCAUUUAUAUACGUAUAAAUUUAAAGUAAUUUUACAGUUUUUUAUAUCUCUUAAUAUGAUUAAUAUUCUAAGUAUUUAAUCGUUAAAAUUAUUAUUUUAUUUAUAUAUUCUAACUAUUUGUUUUAGGUAAAAAAAAUUAACCAUUCAAUAAAUAUUAAUAUAUAUCUAUAGUAUUUUAGAUUGAUGUGAUGAAGAUAUAUAUUAGAUUAAUUCAAAAAUAUACAUGCAUGACAAGUAUAAUUAUAUCAAUAAAUCCGACGGUUAAAUUGUUACAAUAUUAAUCUUAAAAAGAGAUAUGAAAGAGUAAAUCACUGUAAAUAGAUCUCCCAAAAUAAUUUGUAGUUAAUGUCCCAAAUUUCCAUAUAUAUAUAUAUAUAUAUAUAUAUAUAUAUAUAUAUACACGAUAAUGUGACCACUAGAUAGACUAUUUUGGACAUUAAAUGACGUACCAAAAAAGGAAAGAAAAAAAUAAUUCAAAAACGACACACUCUCCAUUGAUAUUUUCAUUUUAAGGUUGUAUUCUUUUGACUUAAAAAGAUAAUUAAAAUUAAAAAAAAAAUACAAUAAUUUUAUCGUGUUAUUGAUAAAUAUAAUAUUUUAGGAAAAUAUGGAAUAUUUUACUUUUGAAUUUCAUAUGGAUAAUAAAUGUGUAUAUAUAUGAACUCUUCAAGGAUAAUUUAAUUAUUAUUUAAUAAGAAGAUUUGGUAACUAACGUAUUGUUUUGACUAAAAGGACGUUUAGUAUGAUGGAAAGUUAUCAUUUUUUAUGACAUAUAAUUGGUUAAAAUGUGAUUCAAAUUUAAUUUCCUUGGAAUGUAACAUUCUCUUUGGAGAUACUUUCCUUAGGUAAUGGAAAGUGAUUCCCUUGAUAAUUGGUAAGAAAGUUACUUUCUCAUAUAGAUCGAAAGUAAAAAGAAUUUAUUAAGACAAAAUUAUAAUUUUUUUUUCUAUUUGUGUUUACGAUUAAAAUUUAAAUUGAAUGUAUUUUUUAAUAUAAAAUUUUUAAAUUAUAGUUUUUCGAUGAUAUGAAAUUUUAGUAUCAAGAAAAGUGCUCAAACGAAAUUUAUUUUCGAGUUUAAAAGAAAUAUUUCAUUUCUUAAUGCACAAAUACUUGCUAGCUUUUUUAUACAACAAUAUUGAUCCAUAUCUUCUACAUCUUUGGAGAAAAAAGGGAGGUGCAAGAAGGAGAAAAUAAGGCGGCGAGCAUAAUGGUAAAACCAGGGAAGAAAAGAGGAUAAUGUCAUGUGCUUACUGUCUCUAGUGCUUGAAACCAUUUUGAGCUAUUUUUUUCUUUGAAUCCAAACCUUCCUAAGCCUUAGAAUGUUACAAGCCGAGAAGACCUAUGUGACCUAAGCAUUUCCUUUACAUGAUCUUCUUGACUUGUUUAUAGUUAGCUUAUUGAAAGCUUUGGAUUUGCAUGUUGUGUCUACUAUAUAUCUAUAUAAGUUAUAUUGAUGGAUAACAUAAUUGAGUAUUUACUCAUUUGAAUCGCCAAGGUUUAUUAGUUUUUUAACUUAGUUAACUAGGUAGAUUUGCUUUAGGAGUACUUAAGUUAGCUAAAAAUCAAUCUUAAAUUGCAUGUGAAAUACGUCUUGUAUAAAUUCAAUAUUCGAUUGUCAUGCUUCUUAUUGUUCACCAUAUUCCAAGGGUCAUCUUAUGCAUGUUUUGUGUGUUUGCUUGUGGACAAACAACAACUUAAGUAUGGAGGAGUUUGAUCUAUCGUAUUUAUGUGUUAAAUUAAGCUAUUUAUUCUUGAGUAUUUUAUAUCGUCUGUUAUUACUUUCCCACAAUUAUUAGAUUUAAUACUUAACAUUAGUUUUUAUUUCGUUUUUAUGUUUUCGGAAUAAAAUGACAAGUUUAUGACAUUAGUAACUUAAUCUUUGAGUUAAGCUUGGUACAGUUACUUGGUUGAUGUGAAAAUGAGAAGAGGAGCCUAAACUAGAGCAAAGGUUGCGACACCAAUGCUUCCAACAUCAUCCGAGGAGUGAGACUUCAAUAAAUUGCACAUUUGUGGAGAUUACUUCCAUUGUUGCGACACCAAGGAGUUGAUGUCGCAACACCAACCUUGGUGGUUUUAACACUGGGCUAGCAAUGUCGCAACAUCGAUCAUAGCCUCUAAAGUUGAAGAACUCAAGUUGCCUGAAGACAAUGUCAUGACACCAAAGGCCAUUGUUGCAACACUAAAAUACCCAAUAACCCAAAUGUGUAGACUAUCAUAGGUGUCGUGACAUCGACCCUUGACGAGGCAAAAUAGUUGAGGGUAUUUUAUUGUCCAACAACCUUCAAAUUAGAUUUUUAAGGGGGGCAUAAUUAUCAUUUUUAGGUUAAGUUAGAAAAGACUAUAAAAACUACUUUAUAAGUCUUUUUGUAGUAGAGUUGUAGGGUAGAACAUAUUUCUACUUUUCAUCUUUUUAGAUUAUAUUUAUUUUUCUUUUCUUUUCUUUCAUUUUCUUUAGAAUAAUUUUAGCUAUAGAUUUUCUUCUCUUUUAUCGAGAACUCUGUAAAUGGAGAUGAUCAAGCUUGUGGGCUUCAUCGUAUUUUAAUCUAUUAAUGAGCAUUUUCUCAUAUCCUUAUCUUUUAUAUUUUAUUUCUACCAUGUGUUUAAUAAAAUGCUUGUGUAGGAUUUAAGUUUUAUUAUAUGCUAAAUUGGUUGAUGGUUAGUUGAUGAAAGUGGUCCUUUCUUGGUCUUCCUAAGCCAUCAAGAUGUGAUUAUGCCCAGAAAAAGGUGUCAACCAUUUUUUCUUUGACGAGGAGAGGGAAGCUAUCUUUUGGGCAAGCUUUAUUGAGGUUGGUGAAAUCCAUACACAUCCUUCACUUGCCAUUAGACUUCAACACCAUGACUAUAACACCUCACACCCGACUCGAUUGUUGGAUCCAAAUGCGUGAUGUCACAUUACGUUACCGAAACAACUCAAACUAUCUCAUUUUAUAAUAAUAAAAUUUAAAUCAUAAUUAUCAUAUAAACUGAUUUAAUCAUCAAACAUACUCACACAUAUGCAUUCAUAGUGUUUAGGAUUCAAUUCAUCAUGUUAUGGGGUUAUGCAAGGUUAAAUUUAGAGUUAGGACUCAAAUCCAAACUCAACUAUCAAAUUUCAAUGUUAUGUCUCGAGAUAGAGGACUUCUUGUUUUCAAGAUAGUCCUCAUUUUAUUUUAGGUAUUUUUUCUUCGAUGCCAACAUGUCUCGAGACACUGGAGGUAGUGUCUUAAGGGAAGGUUCUUUGCGUCUCGAGGCCAACCUCCCCUGUUUCAUUAAUUUAGCUUCGAUGUUUAAAUGUCUAGGGACAAGGGUUCUUGUCUCGAGACUUGAAACAGAGCAAAUCUAAUUUAGCUUCAAAGUUUACUUGUCUCAAGACAAUGACCCCUUGUCUCGAUGCUUGAAUAGGAUUGUCUCGAGACUAGCUUGCCAAAUCUUGAGACACUAAACAUAUAAGUUAAAUUAUAAGGUAAAUUUUGUUCUUAUGGUCUCGCGACAUGUUCCUACUAUCUUGCGACUCAAUGGUAAAAUAGCUUUAAAUGCACAUUGUCAUGUGUCCAAACCAUACCAAAUGGCACAUUAAAUAUACCAAAAUUUUACAUCAAAUUAAGGCCAUAAAUUAAACACAUAUAAACACAAUUAAACAUCAUCAAAUCAUAACCAUCAAUGUAACAUCUUUUAAACAACUAAUUUACAUAAUCAAACUGAUAUAAACUAGAAUAAUUAACUACUAAUUAAAUAUUAAAAUUCAUCUUAUAAAACCUUAUAGGCCAAAUACAAAAUAUACCAAAAUUAAAACUUAAGCAACAUGCCUAAAACAACCUAGGUACAUGCCAUUUCAACUCAAACACACACACACACACAAAAGAGGUAAUAAGGCAUGUUCUGAGUUGAGUUGUUGAGUUGGAUGCUGGGCAUUAUAAUCUACAUCUACUAACGUUCAAUACUUGCACAUAAAAACAAACAUAACCAUACGUUGAGUAUCGAAUACUUAGUGGUGCUUGUUGAAACCUUCUUUUUUUUUUUUGAAAAUGACUUUUAUUUAAAAAAAAUAAAAAUGGAGUCGCCACUGAUCCUUUUUAUUAGGUGUAAUUGGGCCACCUCAAAUUUUAACCAUCUUAAUAAAAUAUUAGAUUUUUCUAAAAUGAUAAUUUUUAGCCUACGAAAUCCAAGAAUGUGGGUUCGAGAGUCGGUUAUGUAUGAGGAAGGAUUAGCACCCUCAUAAUGUCCAAAAUUGGUACCUAGUUGGUUACUUAAUAUUGUGAUGUCGAGAAUUGAAAAUUCGAAGCAAAUUUAAAAUACGAUCCCUCUUUGUAUGAUAUUAAAAUAUCGCUUAACUAAAUUAAUUUUCACAAAAAGGCCUUCUUUCAAGUUAAUCGAGAAGAAAAGAUCGUGCCCUGUAAGUUAGGACACGAUGCCUUAAAUCCUCGAAAACAAGAAUAAUCGUCAUUUGAUCAUUACUUAAAUCUCGUUUAUUUUUUAUUUUUAAAAUAGAUAUUCAACUAUUUGGGUUUUAGAAAGAGGCCAUACUCCAUAAGUUAGGAGCACGACUCCUCUAAUUCAAAAAUAAUGAACACUGCCUUGGUUUUCCUUUAAAAUAUUUCCUAUUCAUAUGGUAAAACGAAUGCAACCUUUUAACAAUUGCUUUUUAAUUUAUCUAGGCCUAGUAGUAAAAUGGAUGAAUAUGUUUAACGCGAUACACGGCAUGGAUGUUAGCAAAAUAAAGUAACAUAGUAACGGGUAAAAAUGAAAUGAUGAUAUUAAAAUGAUAAGUAAAUAAAUGAACAAAUCAAUAAAUCAAUAAAAUAAAAAAAUGAUAGGUAAUAAUAAUACAACUAUAAUGAUAGUAAAAAAAACAAUUUAUAGUAAUAAUAACGAUAAUCAUAUUAUAAUUACUAUAAUAAUAAUAAUAAGGGCGAAAAAUGCACAAUAAAAAGGAAAUAUAAGUAACAUGAAUUUUAAUUAUAAAAAGGGUAAAGAAAUAAUAAAUAAAUAUAUAAAAACAAUUCAUAAAAGGUUAAAAUUAAAUAAACCAAGGACUGAAUCGGAACUAAAAUGAAAUUAAAAGCAUAAAUUGUAAUAAAAUAAACAAACAAGUAAAUAAAGGACUAAAAUAAGAAAUGUGAAAAUAAACAAGGCUCAAAUUGGUAAUUAUUCCAAACCCCAGGACACAAGUCAUUCCCCGGCAAAUGAAGGACUAAAUUGAAAACAAGUUAAAAUUAAAUGGUGUAAUCUAAAAAGAAAAAAAUUGAGAUUAGGACCAUAUCAAAAAGAAGGUUCAAAAGUGGAAGGACCAGGACCGCAAAUAGACCACUCUACGAAAACACAUGGAUCCCAAGGGAUCCGGAUCGGGUUGGCGGGCCAAGCUUCAAAACGAAACCGUUUCGGGACUUUUGAACACCGGCCAAAACGGUGUUGUUUAGUCUUGCUUAUAUAAAUCAAAAUUUUUUUAAAUCUGCUUAGGUUUUUAAAAAAAAUUUUGAAACCCUUUCUUUUUCUCUCAGCCUUUCUUUAGGUCCGGCCUUUGGCCCGCCGAUGCUCUGCCAUGGCCACCGAUCAUCGGCGACAACAACCGUCCCCUCCGAUGGCCGGAGUCCAAAAAAACCCAUUUUCAGCCCUUUUCAACCCUAAAACCCGGAUCUAAAGGCAAAUGCCUUUAAAAAAACAAAAAAAAUGAAAAAGAUUUCGGAUUUCCCCCUUUCUGGUCGCGCCCUUUUGUAUCCCCUUUUAUUGAAGCCCAGACGAAACCUAAUGGGUUCGACGACUCUCAAGAUCGAGGGAGACCCCCGACGGCGGCGCGAGACGAAGCCAGGGAAAAGGUUUUAUAUUUAUUUAUUGUUUUUGAAUCUAAAGAAACAAAGUAAAUCACCUUUUUUUUGCUUAAUGUUUGUAUCCGAUUUUUAUUUCAAUCUUCUCAGGCGGUGAGCACGCUGACGUGGUGAGGCGCGGUGCAAAAGGGGAUCUAGGGUUUUUAGCUUUCUGAAAAUAGUUUAGGUUAUGGGCUAUUUGGCUUUAGGUUAUUGGGUAUUAGGUUUAGCAUAUGGGUUGGGCUAUUGGGCUCUUUUUGUUUGGGCCAAUCUAGUUUGUAAAUGGACUUAGACUUUUAUUUUUCAUUUUUAUUUUGUUUAUUUAUUUUUGGUUUCUAUUUGGGUCAGAAAAAAUUGGGCCCUUACAAUGCUAAUAUAAUUCAAAUUCAAAUAUAUAUUGUGUUAAGAAUAAACUAAAGUAAGUAUAUAUAACAAGUAUCAAUUACGUAAAUGAAUACUACUUUAACUUAUCAUAUCAUUUUCCAACUUUCAUAUUCAUUUCACAUUUCAAUAUAAAUUUCAAUGCUUAUUCAUUUUUCCCCUAUUAUCCAAUGAUAGAUAUUAGAAUGGAUACUUAAAUCUGUAUAUAUCAAGUAACUCCACAACCCUUUUGGAAACUAGGACUAUUUUAUUCUGUCAUCCCGGGUUGCUCGACAACGAUGAUUUUCAAUAUUUUUCCCACUAUUUAUUCAACCAUUCUGGAUUUCCCGACAACGAUGGCUACUAAAUCACUAUAUUGAUGACCCUAUGGCAUUCCAACUAUACCCGAACUACGUCUAACAUCGUUUAAUGGGGCAUUAACAUCAUAUUCACUGCUCUAACAUAUAUCAUUAUAAUACCAAUGUCCAAAUAUUCAUAGUCACAUCCAAAGCAAUUUCAAAUAUUUAUCACAUAAUUCAAAUAUCACCAAUCAAAUCCAUUAUUCAAAGUUGAUAGGGAAAGAUGCCAUUAAGUCAUAUUGAUUACAACGACUAAUUAAUCUACGAAAGUAAAUUGGAAUUGAAUUACAAAAGCACAAACCACAAUAGUUAUUUGUGUUCACUUUUUCUUUCCCCUUCACCUUGGACAUUCCAACAUCGUCUUUCACUACGAUCGAUAAUACAGUAUAAUCAUACAUAUCUUAUUUACCAAAAUUUUAUCGACUUAACAAGAAUAUAUAUUAUUUUUAUUAUAUAUUUAUAUAUAAUGUUGAGUAUGCCUCAUAUUUUAGUCAAAUUUGAGAGAUAAUCUCACAGUUAAACUCUGUUUAUUUGUUUCAGUCAAACUCUGACUAGUCUAUAUUAUUUUAUUAUUAUUUGACCUUCAAAUUUAGCCUAUAAUAGGCUCUUUUACAACCUUAAAAAAAAUACACUCAUUAAAUAUUAGAUCUCAUAACACUUUUGAAGAAUUUUGUGUUUACGUUUUGAGGGUUCUUUGUUUUCGAGUUUCGAGGUUUAGUUUUUUAUCUCCAUCUUUUGUACUCUUCAUUCUUUUGUCAUUAUAGUAAAAUCAUCUUUGCUCGUGGUUUUUUUAUCCUCUUUGAAGGGGUUUUUCCACAUUAAAUUUGUGUGUACAAUUUCUCAAUUUCUUCUGCUAUUUUUACUUGUUCAUUGCUUAAUCGGGUUAAUUCCUAACAAGUGGUAUCAGAGUUAGUUCGAUUUUCAUAGAUCAACUCAUUCAGAUAUGGCAGCAACAAAAUUUGACAUUGAGAAGUUCGAUGGUGUCACAAAUUUCAAUUUGUGGAAAGUUCGGAUGAUGGCAAUUCUAGUUCAAACUGACCUGAAAAAGGUUGUUACUGGGAAAAAGCCUGAGAAUCUAGAUCAGACAGAGCGAGAAGAGCUUGAUGAAAAGGCCCCUGUCUACAAUUUAGUUGUGCCUCGCGAAUAAGGUAUUACAGGAGGUAUUGAUGGAGAAAAACCUCAUCCGCCUUGUGGAAAAGGUUAGAAACUCUAUAUGCGACUAAGUGUCUAGAUAACCAUUUAGUAUUGAAACAACGUAUUUUUACGUUUCGCAUGAACGAAGGUGAGCUUCAUAGAGAUCAGACUAGUCAAUUUAUUACUCUUUUGAAUGAUUUAAAAAUGUUGAGGUUAAGAUUAACGACGAAGAUCAGGCUAUGUUAUUAUUGUGCCUUUUACCCCCUUCAUACAAGUCUUUCAGGGAAAUCCUAAUUUAUGGUAGAGACAAACUCUCGUUUGAGGAUAUGAAGGGUCAUUUGUUGAGUAAUGACAAACUCGAAAAUGAUUUUGGUUCGAAUAGCAAGGCAGAUAGGCAAGCUUCCAUUUUGGUAGCAUCAAAGAAGUGAGACAGAAUGUGUCGCUAUUGUAAAAAGUUAGGUCACAUCAAAGCAGAUUGUUAUAAACUGCGAAAUAAAAGGGAUGCUGAGAGUAACGAGGAAGAUGUAGCUACUGCUAAUUUAGAUGACGAAACCAGUGAUGAUUUCUUGUUAGUGUCAAUAAGCGAAAGCUCCGAGCUUGCGUCUGAGUGGAUCCUAGAUUCGGGAUGCUCUUUCCACAUGUGUACAAACAGAAAAUGGUUCUCCACAUACAGUUUGCUUGAAGGUGGAGUUGUACGCAUGGAAAAUGAUUCAUCCAUUAAGGUAAUCGGUAUUGGUACUAUUAAAAUUAGGAUGCACGAUGGGACAAUUAGGACAUUCUUAGAUAUCAGGUAUGUACCUGAUUUACAAAAGAAUCUCAUCUCCUUGAGUAUUUUAGACUGGAGAGGUUAGAGAAUCAACAUUGAGUCGAGCGACAUUAAGGUGUCUCGUACGGCUCUCGUUUAGUUAAAAGGUAAAAGAACCGACAAUCUUUAUAUUAUGACAGGUUCUAUAGUGAUUGGUGAAAUCAGACAUCCCUCAUCUAUUACGAAGUCGAAGUCAACUCAUUUAGAGUGGAGGCAACUUGGUCAUAAGAGGGAAAAAUGUAUGAUCAUUUCGUUGAAGAAAGGCUCUCUUUUGGAUGCAGGUUUUGAAAAGUUAGGGCAUUGUGUUCGUGAAAAUCAGACCCGUGUUAGUUUUGGUUUGACAGUGCACAAUUCGAAGGCUAGAAGUCUUCUAGCUUCUAAGCAUAUAUUCGACUUAGUUAAUUCCCUGCAUAGUUCAAGAUAGUCCCAUGGCAGGCUUUGGCAAAGAUGGAGUUGUGGAAAUACGAGUCAAGGUGGAGAUUUGUUGAGUAUGCCUCAUAUUUUAGUUAAAUUUAAAAGAUAAUCUCUCAAUUAAACUCUGUUUAUUUGUUUCAGUCGAACUCUAAUUAUUUUAGAUUAUUUUAUUAUUAUUUGACCUCAAAUUUAGCCUAUAAAUAGGCUAUUUUACAACCUUAGAAAAUACACCCAUUAAAUAUUAUAACUCAUAACACUUUUGGAGAAUUUUGUGUUUACGUUUUGAGGGUUCUUUGUUUUUGGGUUUUGAGUUUUAGCUUUUUAUCUCCAUCUUUUAUACUCUUCGUUCUUUUGUCAUCAUAGUAAAAUUAUCUUUGCCCGUGAUUUUUUAUCCUCUUUGGAGGGGUUUUUCCAAAUUAAAUUUGUGAGUUCAAUUUCUCAUUUUCUUCCGCUAUUUUUAUUUGUUCAUUGUUUAAUCGGGUCGAUUCUCAACAUAUAAUAUUUUAUACUUAAGAUUUUAAGAACAUAUCCUAUUUUAGGUGUAAUAGUAUAACAAAAGAACAUAUGAUAGUGGUAGUAUUUGAACUUGUGGGAUUAAAAUAUUGUACUUUUAAUUUAUCGAAAUAACCUCUUGUAUAUUAUCUUAACCAAUAAGUGAUUUUGAGAUUUCAAGUUUCUUUUUUGAAUUAUAAGAGGAGGGUAAAGUCUUAAUAGUGAGACGACUAGCAUGAUUCAAACUCAAGACACACCUGAGACGAUAAACACUCUGACCAUUAGGCUAAUAUAGAAAUUUUAGUCUAUAUUAUCCUUUCUUUUGUAAUUUUCAUUUACCUUAAAAUAAUAACUGUUUUUCAUAGUUUUUAAAUUCAUCAAUUUAAAAAUAAUUCUAAAACCCUAAAGAAAGUUGGUCGAAUAAGUAAUAAAUUUAUUUAUUUUAAAAUGCUAACAAGUAAACAAAUACAUUUGAUUACUAAGGAUUAAAAGAAACAUGAUAAACAUUUUUUAUUAAGUAAAAUUUUAAAAUAUUAUACCAAAAAAAAUUAGUAUUUCAAAUACUAUAGAGUCGUAUUAUUCUUGCUUUCCACUAAUAUUUCCUAAGAAACUAGUAUCAGUAAUGAAAAUAUUGCCCAUAAAGACUGCUGGUGGACUGAGGACUUAAAUUCAAUCAAGAGCAUGUCAAAAGGAAAAGAAAAGAGUAAAUAUCACACAUGCCCUCAAAACAUUUGACAUCAAUUAUUUUGAUAUUUACAUUUCGAUUGGUGAAGAAAAAUCGAACUACAUUAACUGGUUAAAUUAAGAAUUGAUAUUGAAUGAUAAAAAAAAUCAGCACAAAAUUUAAUUAGAAAAACCAAUUUUUGAUAUUGAGUUUUUUUAUAUUAAAAUUAUUUUUCUGCAAGUGAUCAGAUUAGAAGUUUAAACUUAAUAGCCUUUUAUAUAUAUUAAAUAUGAUAACAUUAAAUCAAGUACAUGAAGAACAUAUAUAAGCAAAAAUCUGUCUAUUGAAUUAUGUCAUGAACAAAAAUCAAGAGCAUGCUAUGUAUACAUAUAGGGGCUUCAACACAUCAUCUUGCUUUCCCACAUUCACGCAUAUCUAUAUAAACAAGUACAGGGACCUUUAUUCAAUACUUAAAGUCUGCAGCCAUGCUAGACCGACUGGAAGGAACAAAACAAAUUUAACUAAUAAAUUACUACUUUUUAAACAUAUUUAAUAUCAAAAUUAUAUUUAAGAUUUAAUUUAUAUUUUAAUUAAAUAAUUCCGUUUGACCAAUCCAACCGAUAGAAUAAUUAAAUAACUUAAAAUUCACAUCGAUUUGUUACAGAUGGGGCCCUGGGAAGGACCAAAAAGAUAUUUGUCUGAAAGUUUAAAGAUAAAUAGAGGAUAUUUACUUUGUAACACACAUUUAAACAUUUAUCUACUAAUUUUUUAAAGACAUCAACUUUGAAUGAAAAGAAUCAAACAAAAGACAAACCAAUAUUGCUUUUAAUCUAUUUGCAAAUCUCAUUCAAUGGGCCCUACAUGCAUUUUGUUCUAUAAUUGGUUUCAUGCAUUUAUGUGGUCUUUUUUUGACUUAAAAUCACCAGUAUUUUGUUUUUACCUAUAAAUACAUGCAACGAUUGCAUUCUUAUCCUCACUCAAAUUCUGUGCCAAAUUUGAAGAGCAAACCAAAAAAAAAGCGGCAAAUUAAGCUUUCGAAUAUUUGCUUUUGUUCAAUCCAAAUGGCUUCACAAGUUUCUCAAUUGCCUUCUUCAUCACCCCUUACUUCCAAUAAGGAUGAAAUGCGCCCCAAAGCUGAUUUUCAGCCUAGCAUUUGGGGAGAUCUCUUCCUCACUUGUCCUAAAAAGGUAUACUAAUAUAUGAGCAUAUUGACAUAUAAUGUUAACAUAUUAUUUGUUUAAUUAUUUAGUGUUUCAGUAUGAAUAAAAUUUGCAUUAUUUUGAGCAGGAUAUCAAUGCAGAAACUGAACAACGCCACCAACAAUUGAAAGAAGAAGUGAGGAAGAUGGUUGUGGCACCGAUGAAUAAUUCAACCCAAAAGUUAAACUUCAUUGAUUCAGUACAAAGACUGGGUGUGAGUUACCAUUUCACAAAAGAGAUCGAGGAUGAACUAGAGAACAUCUACCAUAACAACAACGAUGCCGAGAACGACAUCUACACUACAUCUCUUCGAUUCCGAUUACUCCGAGAGCAUGGAUUCAAUGUUUCGUGUGGUAAUUAUUGGAACAACAUAGUGCUUUUAAGUUUUAUGACUAUAUAAUAGCAUGGAAUGUUUGAAAACGAUAUUUUGUUUCGGGUGAUUUGAUCGCAGAUGUAUUCACCAAGUUUAAAGAUGAGCAAGGGAACUUUAAGUCAUCUAUGACAAGCGAUGUUCCAGGAUUGUUGGAACUUUAUGAAGCUUCCUAUUUAAGGGUUCAUGGGGAAGAUAUAUUGGAUGAAGCAAUUUCUUUCACCACCAACCAUUUAAGGCUUGUAGUAGCAUCUUUGGAUUAUCCUUUAUCCGAACAGGUUUCUCAUGCUUUGAAACAAUCAAUCCGAAGAGGCUUGCCAAGGGUUGAGGCGAGGCACUAUCUUUCAGUAUACCAUGAUAUUGAAUCCCAUAAUAAGGCUUUGCUGGAGUUUGCAAAGAUUGAUUUCAACAUGUUACAACUUUUGCAUAGGAAAGAGCUAAGUGAGAUUUGUAGGUAUGUGUUUUUGAAUAUUUUUCAUCCAUUUCUUCUUUUUUCACCUUUUUUUUUUCAAUUUAUAGGAGGCUUCAUCCUCAGUAUAAGGGACGGGUUGCAAAUACUAAUAUUCAAAUCUUAAACGUAUUAAAUUACAUUAGUUAAAAGUGAAGACAUGAACUUUGGACUCAUCUUUUUCACCUAUUUCAUUUAACGUAUGAAGAUAUAUAUAUAUAUAUAUAUAUAUAUAUAUAUAUACAAACUUGAGAUUUCCAAUAGAAUUAAGAAUCUAACAAUUUACUCUUCAACAACAUGAAUGUGAAACUAAUAAAAACUUUGAAGAUUCAUUGUGCUAAUGAGGUUUUUUAUGAUAUAUUUUUUAGGUGGUGGAAGGAUUUAGACUUUCAAAAAAAGUUGCCAUAUGCAAGAGAUAGAGUGGUUGAAGGUUAUUUUUGGAUCUCAGGAGUAUACUUUGAGCCCCAAUAUUCACUUGGUAGAAAGAUGUUGACAAAAGUGAUAGCAAUGGCAUCUAUUGUAGAUGAUACAUAUGACUCAUAUGCAACAUAUGAUGAGCUCAUUCCCUAUACAAAUGCAAUUGAGAGGUUAGAUUUCUUUAGUUAGAGAUUAACAUUCAGUUAUAUAUUACGAGGAAUGAUUGAAUAUAACGUUGAAGUUGGAUUCAGGUGGGAUAUCAAAUGCAUAGACCAACUUCCAGAAUACAUGAAACCGAGCUACAAAGCACUAUUAGAUGUUUAUGAAGAAAUGGAACAACUGAUGGCUAAGCACGGAAGACAAUAUUGUGUCGAAUAUGCGAAAAAUGCGGUAUAUACAUCAAGAAAUAUUUAUUUUAUACAAAAGAGAUAAGACCUUAGCUAAAUUUUAUAUUUGAAUAAACAAUUAACUUAAAUAACAUUAAAAUCAUUUAAAUAUUAUUAUCGAAUUUGACUUGAUAUUAGUGAUAAUUGUUGGGAUUUUGUUGCCUCAGAUGAUACGACUUGCUCAAUCUUACCUUGUGGAGGCCAGAUGGACUCUUCAAAACUACAAACCAUCAUUUGAGGAGUUUAAGGCUAAUGCUUUGCCAACUUGUGGUUAUGCCAUGCUUGCUAUAACAUCUUUUGUCGGGAUGGGAGAUAUCGUAACACCAGAGACCUUUAAAUGGGCUGCCAAUGACCCUAAGAUCAUUCAAGCUUCCACAAUUAUUUGUAGGUUUAUGGAUGAUGUUGCUGAACACAAGGUAUAAUAAUAUAUUUAUAUAAUCACAAGAAACUAAGCUCUUAACUCAAUAAUUGAAUGUCUCUGUAACGAAAUCAAAAAUGGUUUUUUAUCAUGAUCUAAAACCAUUAAAGUUUAAUAUUUAUAUAUAAAUGUUUAGUCUUAAAUUGAAGAAUAAGAAAAAAAAAAAGAGUUUCAUUUUAGGGUUACUAGGGAGGAAAUGUUGUCAAAAGGUAAUUUAUCAUCACUAAACAAAUGUAGUUUAAUAAACUGAUAGAUUUUAGUGUAUAUAGUGAUAGAAUAAUUUUGAUUUUAUUACGGCUGCAGUUCAAGCAUAGGAGAGAAGAUGAUUGCUCAGCAAUUGAGUGUUACAUGGAAGAAUAUGGUGUAACAGCACAAGAGGCAUAUGAUGUGUUCAACAAGCAUGUUGAGAGUGCCUGGAAGGAUGUGAAUCAAGAGUUUAUGAAACCAACAGAAAUGCCAACAGAAGUUUUGAAUCGUAGCCUAAAC